GGGCAUGUUAUUUACUUUUGUGAGGAAACUGCUAGAAUUGCCAGACCUGAUACUAAAAAUAAACAUAGACCUGUUGUAGGCAUGCCUAUUAUUUCUGUUAAAAUAGGAGAUCAUUGUUAUCAUGGCUUAUGUGAUAUGGGUGCUAGUGCAAGUACAAUACCUCAUUCCUUACACAAAGAAAUUAUGCAUGAUAUUGCACCUGCUGAGUUAGAGGAAAUUGAUGUUGCAAUUAAGCUUGCCAAUAGAGAUACUAUUUCACCAGUCGGGAUUGUUAGAGAUGUUGAAGUCUUGUGUGGGAAAGUUAAAUAUCCUGCUGAUUUUCUUGUUCUUGGUUCCCCACAAGAUAACUUUUGUCCCAUUAUAUAUGGUAGACCCUUCUUGAAUACUGUUAAUGCUAGGAUAGACUGCGAAAAGGAUGUUGUUACUAUUGGUUUGGGGAAUAUGUCUCAUGAGUUUAACUUUGCUAAAUUUCGUAGACAACCCCGUGACGAGGAAUUGCCUAGUAAAGAUGAAAUUAUUGGUCUUGCUUCUAUUGCCGUGCCUCCUAGUGAUCCUUUAGAACAAUAUUUGCUAGACCAUGAAAAUGAUAUGUUUAUGAAUGAAAGAAGGGAAAUAGAUGAGGUAUUCUUUAAACAGGGACCUAUUUUGAAACACAACUUGCCUGUUGAAAUACUAGGCGAUCCUCCUCCACCCAAGGGUGAUCCCGUGUUUGAGCUUAAACCAUUACCUGAUACUCUUAAAUAUGCUUAUCUUGAUGAGAAAAAGAUAUAUCUUGUUAUUAUUAGUCCUAACCUUUCAGAGCAUGAAGAAAAGAAAUUAUUGAAAACUCUGAAGAAGCACAGUGCUGCUAUUGGAUAUACUCUUGAUGAUCUUAAGGGCAUUAGUCCCACACUAUGCCAGCACAAAAUAAAAUUGGAGAAAGACGCUAAACCAGUUGUUGAUCACCAACGAUGGUUAAAUCCUAAGAUGAAAGAAGUGGUAAGGAAAGAAAUACUAAAGCUUCUGGAGGCAGGUAUAAUUUAUCCCGUUGCUGAUAGUCAGGGGGUAAGUCCCGUCCAUUGUGUCCCUAAGAAGGGAGGUAUUACUGUUGUUCCUAAUGAUAAAGAUGAAUUGAUCCCACAAAGAAUUAUUACAGGUUGUAGAAUGGUAAUUGAUUUCCGCAAAUUAAAUAAAGCUACUAAAAAGGAUCAUUACCCUUUACCUUUUAUUGAUCAAAUGCUAGAAAGAUUAUCCAAACAUACACAUUUUUGCUUUCUAGAUGGUUAUUCCGAUUUCUCUCAAAUACCUGUGUCAAAAGAGGAUCAAGAAAAGACCACUUUUACUUGCCCUUUUGGUACCUUUGCUUAUAGGCGUAUGCCUUUUGGUUUAUGUAAUGCACCUGCUACCUUUCAAAGAUGCAUGAUGGCUAUAUUCUCUGAUUUUUGUGAAAAGAUUGUUGAGGUUUUCAUGGAUGAUUUCUCCGUAUAUGGAACUUCUUUUGAUGAUUGCUUGAGCAACCUUGAUCGAGUUUUGCAGAGAUGUGAAGAAACUAACCUUGUCUUGAAUUGGGAGAAGUUCCACUUUAUGGUUAAUGAAGGCAUUGUCUUGGGGCACAAAAUUUCUGAAAGAGGUAUUGAAGUUGAUAAAGCUAAAGUUGAUGCUAUUGAAAAGAUGCCGUCUCCCAAGGACAUUAAAGGUAUAAGAAGUUUCCUUGGUCAUGCCGGUUUUUAUAGGAGGUUCAUUAAGGACUUCUCGAAAAUUUCUAGGCCUCUGACUAAUCUCUUACAAAAAGAUAUUCCUUUUGUCUUUGAUGAUGAUUGUGUUGAAGCAUUUGAAAUACUUAAGAAAGCCUUGAUUUCUGCACCUAUUGUUCAGCCACCUGAUUGGAAUUUACCCUUUGAAAUUAUGUGUGAUGCUAGUGAUUAUGUGGUAGGUGCUGUUCUAGGGCAAAGAGUUGAUAAGAAAUUAAAUGUUAUUCAAUAUGCUGGUAAAACUCUAGACAAUGCCCAGAGAAAUUAUGCUACUACUGAAAAAGAAUUUUUAGCAGUUGUUUUCCUUGUGAUAAGUUCAGACCUUAUAUUGUUGAUUCUAAAGUAACUGUUCACACUGAUCACGCUGCUAUUAAAUACCUUAUGGAAAAGAAAGAUGCUAAACCUAGACUUAUUAGAUGGGUUCUCUUCCUACAAGAAUUUGAUUUGCAUAUUAUUGAUAGGAAGGGAGCAGAGAACCUCGUUGCAGACAACUUGUCUAGGUUAGAGAAUGUUCUUGAUGACCCACUACCUAUUGAUGAUAGCUUUCCUGAUGAACAAUUAGCUGUCAUAAAUGCUUCUCGUACUGCUCCAUGGUAUGCUGAUUAUGCUAAUUACAUUGUUGCUAAAUUUAUACCACCUAGUUUCACAUACCAGCAAAAGAAAAAGUUUUUCUAUGAUUUAAGGCAUUACUUCUGGGAUGACCCACACCUUUAUAAAGAAGGAGUAGAUGGUGUUAUUAGAUGUUGUAUACCUGAGCAUGAACAGGAACAAAUCCUACGCAAGUGUCACUCCGAAGCUUAUGGAGGACACCACGCUGGAGAUAGAACUGCGCAUAAGGCAUUGCAAUCUAGUUUUUAUUGGCCUACUCUCUUCAAAGAUGCCCGUAAGUUUGUCUUAUCUUGCGAUGAAUGUCAAAGAAUUGGUAAUAUUAGUAGACGUCAAGAAAUGCCUAUGAAUUAUUCACUUGUUAUUGAACCAUUUGAUGUUUGGGGAUUUGAUUAUAUGGGACUGUUUCCUUCCUCUAACGGGUAUACACAUAUUUUAGUUGAUGUUGAUUACGUUACUAAGUGGGUAGAAGCUAUUCCAACUAGUAGUGCUGAUCAUAACACCUCUAUUAAGAUGCUUAAAGAAGUUAUUUUUCCGAGGUUUGGAGUCUCUAGAUAUUUAAUGACUGAUGGUGGUUCACAUUUAUUCAUGGUGCCUUUCGUAAAAUGCUUGCCAAGUAUGAUGUUAAUCAUAGAAUUGCAUCUCUGUAUCACCCGCAGUCUAGUGGUCAAGUAGAAUUGAGUAACAGAGAGCUCAAAUUAAUUUUGCAAAAGACUAUUAAUAGAUCUAGACAGAAUUGUUCUAAGAAACUUGAUGAUGCAUUAUGGGCCUAUAGACCUGCAUAUAAAAAUCCUAUGGGUAUGUCUUCGUAUAAAAUGGUUUAUGGAAAAGCAUGUCACUUACCUCUCAAACUAGAACAUAAGGCAUAUUUGGCCAUUAAAGAGCUCAAUUAUGAUUUCAAACUUGCCGGUGAGAAGAGGUUAUUUGACAUUAGCUCACUUGAUGAAUGGAGAACUCAAGCCUAUGAGAAUGUCAAACUGUUUAAAGAAAAAGUUAAAAGAUGGCAUGACAAAAGGAUACAAAAGCAUGAGUUUAAUGUAGGUGAUUAUGUGUUGCUAUUCAACUCUCGUUUAAGAUUUUUUGCAGGAAAGCUUCUCUCUAAAUGGGAAGGUCCUUGCGUUAUCGAGGAGGUCUAUCGUUCCGGUACCAUAAAAAUCAACAACUUCGAAGGCACAAAUCCAAAGGUGGUGAACAGUCAAAGAAUCAAACAUUAUAUCUCAGGUAAUCCUAUAAAUGUUGAAACCAAUGUUAUUGAAACCGUAACCCCGGAGGAAUACAUAAGAGACACUUUCCAGAACGUUUCAGACUUCGAAGAGGAAUAGGUAUGUGGUACGGUAAGUAAACCGACUCAAAAACAGUUCUAAUGGCAAUUUUUCUCCGUUUUGGAAUAUUUAAGAAAAUAGGAAAAUAAGAAGUAGUUCGGGGAGGACACGAGGCUUCCACAAAGGUGGAGGGCGCGCCCUACCCCCUGGGCGCACCCCCCUGCCUCGUGGGCACCUCGUGUACCUUCCGGACUCCGUUUUCUUGCACGAUACUUCUUUUGGUCGGUAAAAUUCAUUAUAUAGUCUCCCGAAGGUUUUGACCACCGUACCACGCAAAUAUCCUCUGUUUUUGUUUCGAGCUGUUUUUCUGACAGAUCUAGAUCACCAUGACGUCUCCAAGUGCCCCCAAGGACAAGUUCUUCGAGAAGGUCAUCAACCCCUACCUCGCGGAAGUGUUGCAACAUCCUCAAACCAUUGAGAUGCGUGAGGGGUUGCUGCACAUCCGCGAUGUUGAGGGACCAAGGAGGACCGGAAGCAUGGAGGCAAGGCUCGAGGCAAUGGAGCAACAAGUUUUCAAGUGUCAGGAGAUGGUGGAGCCUGGACUCGACUCCAAUCACAUAAUGAUCACGGAGUUCACCAACAACCACGCUGGACGCUAAGGACAUUGGGGAGGCCAUCUUCAAGCUUCAUGAGAAAAUUGAGCACCUCCAAGCCCAGAUCUAUGACCUGCAAAACCAAAACUGUGAGUUUGAAUAUAGAUUCAAGAGGAUGAGUUUGGCUGCAGAUUUAAGGAUCCCGGAGACUCGAUCAUCCUUCUAUGAUGGCGAGCCUAUGCCUUGGAAGAGGGACGACAAGCCUACAUCAUCAACAACUCCAUCUCCUUCACCGGAAAAAGAGAUAUAAUCACAUGGGUAUGGGCACUCCCCUUGGCAACUGCCAAGCUUGGGGGAGGUGCCCGGUAUCGUAUCACCAUCACACUCCUGUCUUUACCGUUUUUUCUUAGUUCGAUCCUUUUGAUAAUAUCUUGAUCUAGUAGAAUAAAGUUUUAGUAUGAUUUAGUUUUGAGCUUUGCUUUAUGAUCCUUCAAUGUAAUUGAGUCCGUGAGCUAUAUAUAAUAAAGAUUAGUGUUGAGUCAAGGGCUUGAUUAUCUUGGUAUGAUCUUGAGAGAAAAGAGAAAGAAUAAAAAGAAAUAAAGAGAUCAUAUUGAUCUUAUGGAGAGUAAUGACUUCACAUAUAAAGAGUAUGAUGAAUAAAAGUUGUUGAGAGUUGACAAACAUAGUUUUGAUCAUCGUUGAUAUUAGUAGGAAGUAAUAAAGAAAGAGAGGUUUCCACAUAUAAAUAUACUAUCUUGGACAUAUUUUAUGAUUGUGAGCACUCAUUAAAGUAUGACAAGCUAAAGAGUUGAUGUUGGACAAGGAAGACAACGUAAUGGGUUAUGUUUUCUUAUAUCCGAAAUAAAGUAUAUUGUCAUGGAUCAUCAAACAUGUUGAGCUUGCCUUUCCCCCUCAUGCUAGCCAAAUUCUUUGCACCAAGUAGAUAUACUACUUGUGCUUCCAAAUAUCCUUAAACCCAGUUUUGCCAUGAGUGUCCACCAUAUCUACCUAUGGAUUGAGUAAGAUCCUUCAAGUAAGUUGUCAUGUUGCAUGCAACAAAAAUUGCUCUCUAAAUUUGUAUGAUUUAUUAGUGUGGAGAAAAUAAACUUUAUACGAUCUUGUGAUAUGGAAGCAAUAAAAGCGACGGACUGCAUAAUAAAGGUCCAUAUCACAAGUGGCAAUAUAAAGUGACGUUCUUUUGCAUUAAGAUUUCGUGCAUCCAACCAUAAAAGCACAUGACAACCUCUGCUUCCCUCUACGAAGGGCCUAUCUUUUACUUUUGUCUUUUACCUUAUACAAGAGUCAUGGUGAUCUUCACCUUUCCUUUUUACACUUUAUCCUUUGGCAAACACCUUGUGUUGGAAAGAUCCUGGUAUAUAUAUCCAAUUGGAUGUAAGUUAGCAUGAAUUAUUAUUGUUGACAUUACCCUUGAGGUAAAAGGUUGGGAGGCAACACUAUAAGCCCCUAUCUUUCUCUGUGUCCAAUUAAAACUCCAUACCCAUAAGUAUUGCGUGAGUGUUAGCAAUUGUGAAAGACUAAAUUAUAGUUGAGUAUGUGGACUUGCUGAAAAGCUCUUACAUAGACUCUUUUCGAUGUUAUGAUAAAUUGCAAUUGCUUCAAUGACUGAGAUUAUAGUUUGUUGGUUCUCAAUGAAGUUUCUGAUCCAUACUUUACAUUGUGAAUAGAUUAUUACUUGAGCAUAAGAAAUCAUAUGACAAUAUCCAUAUAUGUUGCUGUUAUAAGAAUGAUCAUGAUGCCCUCAUGUCCGUAUUUUAUUUUAUCGACACCUCUAUCUCUAAACAUGUGGACAUAUUUAUCGUUAUCGGCUUCCGCUUGAGGACAAGCGAGGUCUAAGCUUGGGGGAGUUGAUACGUCCAUUUUGCAUCAUGCUUUUAUCGAUAUUUAUUGCAUUAUGGGCUGUUAUUACACAUUAUGUCACAAUACUUAUGCCUAUUCUCUCUUAUUUUACAAGGUUUACAUGAAGAGGGAGAAUGCCGGCAGCUGGAAUUCUGGGCUGGAAAAGGAGCAAAUAUUAUAGACCUAUUCUGCACAACUCCAAAAGUCCUGAAACUCCACGGAAGUUAUUUUUGGAAUUAAUAAAAAUAUUGAGCAUAGAAAGUACCAGAGGGGGGCCACCCACCAUCUACGAGGGUGGGGGCGCGCCCUACCCCCCUGGGCGCGUCCCCCUGCCUCGUGGGUCCCCUGGCAGGCCUCCGGUGCCCAUCUUCUGCUAUAUGAAGUCUUUUACCCUGGAAAAAAUCAUAAGCAAGCUUUCGGGAAGAAACUCCGCCGCCACGAGGCGGAACCAAUCUAGGGCUCCGGCAGAGCUGUUCUGUCGGGGAAACAUCCCUCCGGGAGGGGGAAAUCAUCGCCAUCGUCAUCACCAACGAUCCUCUCAUCGGGAGGGGGUCAAUCUUCAUCAACAUCUUCACCAGCACCAUCUCCUCCAAAACCCUAGUUCAUCUCUUGUAUCCAGUCUUUGUCCCAAAGCCUCAGAUUGGUACCUGUGGGUUGCUAGUAGUGUUAAUUACUCCUUGUAGUUGAUGCUAGUUGGUUUAUUUGGUGGAAGAUCAUAUGUUCAGAUCCUUUAUGCAUAUUAAUACCCCUCUGAUUAUGAACAUGAAUAUGAUUUGUGAGUAGUUACGUUUGUUCCUGAGGACAUGGGAGAAGUCUUGCUAUAAGUAGUCAUGUGAAUUUGGUAUUCGUUCGAUAUUUUGCUGAGAUGUAUGUUGUCUUUCCUCUAGUGGUGUUAUGUGAACGUCGACUACAUGACACUUAACCAUUGUUUGGGCCUAGAGGAAGGCAUUGGGAAGUAAUAAGUAGAUGAUGGGUUGCUAGAGUGACAGAAGCUUAAACCCUAGUUUAUGAGUUGCUUCGUAAGGGGCUGAUUUGGAUCCAUAUAUUUCGUGCUAUGGUUAGGUUUACCUUAAUACUUCUUUUGUAGUUGCGGAUGCUUGCAAUAGGGGUUAAUCAUAAGUGGGAUGCUUGUCCAAGAAGGGCAGCACCCAAGCACCGGUCCACCCACAUACCAGGUUGCGGGUUGCCGUCGCCGUUGCCAGGCGAAUCCUCUCAGGGCUCCAUCACCGGAAUCAAUUCGUGCCAUUGGACGCCGUCUUUGACGAGCUGGCUCCCGUCGACCGGAGCGGGCUCUGCGGGCGGUUGCACCCUGCAUCACCAAUGUCGUGCGCCUCAAGAAGCAGAGGGACUUCGGUGGUGUUUAGGCGUCCUCUGCAUGGGCAUGUCCAUGUCUCAGCGCAACAUGACCGUUGGAUCAAACUCAGACGGUGCAGAUCAGUCACUGUAGCACAAAGCAUGUGGGUGUGUUUGGUUGCAUUCUCAUCUCAAUAUAGUUGUUCCCUCUUCGUGUAUUUGUGUUAACCUACUAGUGUGGACUCAUGCACUCUGCCAAACACCCAAAAGUGGGUCGAGAAGGGAACUUUUGCUCCCAUCCCGUGCACCCUUCAUACACCCUACCUAACACUGAUUCGUGCCUCAUAUGGUUCAUGUUUCAUGGAGUACGGUAGCACCAUACUCUCUGUGCGCUGUAGACCUAGUUCUGUUAACAUUGAUCUCACCGUUCAUUCUCGACCGGGUAGUCGAAAAAGCGGUACUAUGUUACAUUACUGUUCAUAUAGUUGACAUGCGCACAACAUCAUUUGUUAUCGUCAUAUCUUACUACACUAGCAACAAGAUUAUGUAGUACUGACGUAUGAACCACUGCACAUGCCUAGUAGUAGGAGCACUGUGUAUGUUCAUGCGGCUGCCGUGUUUCGCACUCCUCCAUCGUAAGAGUGGAAACACUUGUUGUAAUCAUUUUUUUCCAGAAAAACAAUGGACACGCUCUACCAUGCGAAUCCUCCUUGACGGUCGUCGGGAACCUUGCUAUUCACUUUCGCCGAUGCGUGGGACAGCCAGCAUCAGGGUCCACUAGUCAUGCACUAAAUUACUCCAUAGUAGAGUGCCCAACUGCAUGGUAGACUACCCCGAUCGAAGCGCCGCAGUAAUGCCCAAUGAGCCGUCAAAUCACAAAACCCCCUCCUUUCCAGCAGUAAGUUGGACAAAGGAAGCAACCAUCAUUUCACUCUUCUCUCUCAGCUUCCUCUCUUGAAGAAAACCCCCACUCGCUUCUCCCUCAUCUUGUUCCUCAUUUCUUCAAGAAAACCCCGACCUGCUUCUGCCAUUGUUCUUCUCUCCCAAAGAAGGAAAGGUGAGCGCAUCAAUGGUGUUGAUUCUGGCCAAGGCCUGGUCUUGCAACCCCGAGACUGAUCCUAUAACUCCCUCUCUGUUCUUUUUUUGGGUUUGUGAUUAUAGUUUCUUUUCUUUUAUUUCUAUUUGACAGUUUCUUGAUGGCCGCUGGAGCACCAGCCAAAGUGAUGUCUAUGGCUCUGGCCAAAACCGUCGAGGAUCAUGGUACGAAGAAGCACAAGCACCCCGUCGAGACUACUGCAGACAAGCUCAAAGCCAUCGCCCUGUCCAAGCCCCCCUCUCCGGGAUCCCUCAUUAAGCAAGUCCAGGUAAUAUCUCUUCUUGACGAUCUUUUUCUUGAUCUUGAUCGUGUUUUCUCAUCUAACACGUAGUACUAGUACUAGUAGUACAACUUUCUGGGUGAUCUUGCAUGUGAUUUUGGUGUGCCAAAUGACGGUUCUAAAUUCCUCUUUUGACCAAAACAUGCGAGAGGUUGACACUAAUUUCUUAUAGAUUACUUUCAACUACUUUAUGAACAUCAAUGCUACCUUUGAAGAGGGUAUAUCUGCCUCAGUAACUUAUGUUAUGGAUAUUGCAAGUAAUCCCUCUGCUCUCAUGCCUUUGAAGACAUGUUAUAGUGUCUUUGUUCACUCAUUUCUGUGUGUAUAUGUAGUCAUAUAUGGAGUAAAAUAUCGAAAAUCAUCUUAUAUUUCUGAACGGAGGUAGUAAUAAAAUAUUUGGUUUCUGUUUGAAUUAGAACCAGGUCCGCGGUGGAGAUGAAGUUCUCAAAGUCAUGUCGUGUGAACUGGAAGACCUGAGGAUGAGUUCUACUGCUAAACUAUCCAGUUGUUGUGUCCUUGUCGCCACGUGUCCUGAACUAGUGUUUUCCUAUAGCAUUGUUGUCAGGCGUGUUCUCGAGGCUGUACUUGACCACAACAAUUUCCUGGUUGUGCCUUCGAUUACGAAGGGUGUGGUUCUUGUAAAGCUUCCCGACAAAUCUGAUGCGGCCUAUCUUCAUCGUCAUGUUUAUGAGUGGAAAGACCACUCUGUUAGGUUCUCCAAGGUUGACAAGAUGGUGAUGGUGCAGGUAGACAUCUCUCAUGAAGUCCAUGGCCUAGUCAGUUAUGCGGGGUUCAUCCUGUAGGUCGGUGGCAAGAAAUAGUCUGCAGAGUUUAAUUAGUGCAACUUUGCUUGUCUGUAGUAAGUACUAUUGUUCAGUACUUGAUUUGUGUUUGUGAACCCUGUAUUGUUUAGUACUGCCGCUUUUGGUGUGUGGUGAGUCCUGAGAACAGUCUAUGUUAAUGUCUCUCCACUCAAUUCAUUGUGUAUAUUUUGAAGUAUCCAUAUUAUCUUUUUUGUGAGGAUGGUUUAUCAAUUAUGGUUACACUCCAAUAUAUGUAUGCAUUGCAGGGUUUAUCGCACCCACCAGGAUUUCCAGUCCCAUGGAUGUUCGGUCCAUAUGAUUUGUCACGACCUUUGGACUAUCCUGCUUGUGGGAGUAGGCAGGGGCCCUGCAUGCCACGCAUAGUUGGAUGAUCAAUCAUCUGUUUAGUAAUUCAACUUAGUGAUUUCCUGGUAAGGAGGAUUCACUCGUGUCACAUCAAGUAAAUCUUAUUGAUUUACUGUCUAAAUCUUAUUGAUUUAAUGUCAUGUUUUCUUUCUUUUGCUGCAAUUUUAUGAUGCAGGUUUUGCCAUGUGAAAUUCAUCACAGAAUAAACCAUUUGGUUUGCUCUACGAUGGUUAUUUUUGUAGGUUUCACUUCUUAUGUCGUGUCAGUAACUAAGGCACUGUCCAUCACUUAUAUUACUGGAAACAAUUGGAUCAGUCUAAUGUCUGAGUACAAGUUGAAUCCCUAUGAUGAACUGCAGUUUGGUUUAACAAACACGCCACAAUUAGUCCUUCUCGCGUUUAAAAGAAAUGAAGAAAAAGACUGGAUCACGGUCACGGAGCCUACUCAAGUUAGAAAGUUGAUCAUAGCAGACCAGACACGGUCGUCGCUGUCUCGCACAUCAGUACCACCUUCAGCAACGGAUCGAGCACCGGCACCUUCUCUGACGGCACUUGCUCUAGCACUGACAGCGGCAGUAGCUCAGUCUAAUCUAGCUGAGGAUUGGGCACCGACCGCGUCAGCAAAUCAGGCUGAUCUACCGGAGGAUCGGGCAUCGACACUGGCACCUGCUCUAUAAGGAGCACCAUCUCCGGCAGUAGCAGCGGCACUACCAGUCGCACCAGCACGGGCACCAGCAACGACUUCGGCACCUGCACCAACACUUGCACUUGCAUCUGCUCCGGCCCGUGCAGCGGCAAUGGAACUAGCAGUUGCACCAGCAACAGACUGGGCUACAAUUCGCACUUUAUAUACCAAAGUCCUUACAAAAACCGACAUGUCCACCUUCUUGGUAAGCAUUGGCCGCCCAAGUGCUUCGUUCUUUUUUCUUUCCAUGUUGCUUCACAUGAUUCACUAUGUUGAUCUAACUGUUUGUGUAUGUCUUCUUGUUUGCAAACAAAGAAUUCCUAGAGCAACAAGGGAGUCGCUCGACAAUCCGGGCGACCGUGGCCAAGUUUCUCUUACCAUGCGCAGCCUUGGUGUGAAUGAACCUGCUCAAUAUACCGUAAGUACAAAGGAUGGUUGCAUGAUGAUUGAUGCUAAAGGAUGGUCAAGGUUCAAAUCUAAAUCAUAUCUUGCGGUAGGGGAUGAUGUCAAAAUCGAACUUUCUCGACAAGGAGAGCUGGUCCAAAUCAACUUUGAAAUUCUUCAGUAGCAGCAUGCAACUGCCGAACUGAUCUAUCCUCUGAGAGAUUUUGAUGUAAUAAUCUAGCAUGGUGAAACAAGUGUCCUAUGUGUAUAAGUAGUAUGCCAGUAUUAUUUAUCAUGUGGUAUAUCAUUGAUAGAAUUGCAACUCUGAUUGCCGGUUAGGAAUUGUCGUUCGAUUUCAUUCUAACAGCUGCCAUGCUUUAUUCAAUUUUGUGUAUUCGCCUUGCGAUAGCAUCUAAAACCAGCGCCGUACCGAUCGCUUGCAAUAUGAAAAGCGCUGAGGUAGAACACAUGGGCCCCCAAACAUGCAGGCCCACCGGCCUGUGGCCCAAAGCCAGAACCGUGAGCAUGUCUGAGUAUUAUAUUCUCAGUUGAACCCCCAUAAUGCAUGUGCGUUGCACUGUAAGUGCAUCUAGUGCCCCUUAGUGAUUUUGGUGUAUUGAAGACUUAUAGGUUAAGGGACUAAUGUGUUUAUGAGUGUACACAGGUCUAUAAGUCUAUGAGGAGUUUGAUAUUUACAGAGAAAGUCGACCCCUAAAAAUGAAGUUCUUCGACUGAAGACUUUGGAUUUCUGAAGACCUUCUGAUGACUUUGAAAGUGAAGAAAUUGGUGUGACCUUGAAGACUUGGUAUUCAUUUGAGGAACAUGAAGCGUGAAGACUUUUGUUUUCGUAGUUUCAUUUUCUCUUUCUUGAGUCAUAGGAAACACCGUACUGUUAAAGGGGGUCGAGGAAAUACUAAGGAAAAAUUUCCAUGUGAUGCUCAACUCAAAAUCCUACACCUACCAAUCCCUUCGAGUGAAGCCAUUGGAAAUCUCAUACAGUUCAGUCAUAUUUCUUCAGUGACAGAGACGAAGUUCUUCUGGUCUCUGAGGAAUUUGUUCUGACUGAGGAGUUAGGAAUUCGCCAGUGCGGAUUGCCUACACAGUGAGGAACAUGAUAGCCCUGAGGAAUUUGAUACUCAAAUUUCUGACCGUUGCUGUGCUAUGCGCCAGCUGUCCCAAAAUAUCUACCCACCUAACGGUCAUAUCAUUGAAGGGCAUUUAUGUCUUAUCAUGUCGGGCUGCUCCCUAGGCUAUAAAUAGCCGCCCCCUACAACCACUAGCUGGUUGGCUGCUCCGAGAGAAACUGACAUUUGUCAUUUGAGAGCAUCCCAUCCUCCGAGGACUUUGAGAGAAAAUCAUCAAGUGAGGAAAACCCAAACCCAAACACCUACAAACCCAAAGUGAUUGAGCGUCACUUAAGAGAUUGAUCCUGCGUGGAUCCGACGCUUGUUACCUUUGAAGACUGUGCUUCUUCCAGACGGUUAGGUGUCAUGGUCUAGAGCAUCCAAGAGGAAUUGUGGAUCGCCGAGUGACCGAGUUUGUGAAGGUUCGGAAGUCACCUAAAGACUUACCACGAGUGAUUGGACGAGGUCUGUGUGACCUUAGUUCAAGGAGAAUACGGUGAGGACUGUGUGUCCUCAGGUUUAAAUACCUAGCCGCUCCAACCAGAUGUACAACUGAGACAGCAGUUGGAACUGGUCUACCAAAUCAUUGUCUUCACCAAGCUUACUGGUUCUAUUUCUUCAACUCUUUCAUUUCCUCAUUACUGUGUUGUGUGCUUGUCAUAUCUGUGUUUGAAGACUUUGACAGAAGACUUUCUCAAUUUCCUCAGUUCAAUUUCUUCAGUCUGUUUGUCGUCAUCCUGUGCUAUCCUGUGUUUACGCUUUCUGUACUCUGUGUUUGUCUUCAUUUCAUCAUGAUGACCAUGCCUAUGUUCUGCUAUGCUUACUCUUGAGUACUUAUUCCGCUGCAAGUAGUUCUUCGCUAAGGAAUUUCCUCACCCGCAAAUUCCUAAGUGAAGAAUUCAUAAAAAUCGCCUAGUCACCCCCCCUCUAGUCGAUAUAACGCACUUUCAAUUGGUAUCAGAGCAAGGUACUCCCUUGUUCUGUGUGAUUUUGGUUUAACCGCCUGGAGUUUUAGUUAUGUCGAUCGCAGGUAUGAAGAAAGUGACAUGCCCCAUCUUUGACGGUCAUGAUUAUCCCAAGUGGAAGGCCAUGAUGCGGAAGCGCCUCAUGGCGAUGAACAGCGAGCUGUGGACCGUCACUGAGAUUGGUCUUACUGAUCUAUGCAAGAUGGCGGACGCUGAUGAUAUUCGCAAGUACACUCGACUUGACAUCAUGGCAAAGGAUAUCAUCUGUUCCUGCCUAUCCAGAGAUGAAUUCAGGCGCAUUAUGCGUCUUUGCAAUGCGAAGCUUAUCUGGGAUCGCAUCUCUGACGUCUAUGAAGGUCAUCGAACUUGUCAUGAUCCCUGGUUUGAGGAUUUCAAGGAAUCACUCAAAACGAUGACUUUCGAACCUGAACCAUCAUCUUCUGCACCAUGCCUCAUGGCAAAAGGUGCCAAGGUAACCGAAUGUUCCUCACCCGAGUCUAGUGAUGAUGAAUCUGAUGAUGAUUUUGGACCUAGCUAUACCAAGCUUGUUUGUAUUGCCACUAAACAACAAAAAGCCUUGGAAAAGGUUCAAAACAUGCUAGACAAGAGCGAUGAUAUGUUGGGUGAAGAAAUGGAUCGCACCAAAACUUUGACUGAAAAUCUUCAGAGACUUCAGUCCAAGUUUGACAACCUUCAAAGUCAUCAUAACACUCUCUUAUCUGAUAAUGAGAAUCUUUCUUAUGAAUUUCUUCAAAGAAAGCAAGAUCUUGAGAAGCUAAGAGUGAGUUAUGAAGAUCUUCAGAAGGAGCGCGAUUCAUUACUUGCUCAACAAAUCAGCGCUGCUCAGGAAGAAUUUGUUCCUCCAUGUUUGAAAUGCAUUGAACGUGAAUCUGCUAAUUUUUCAACUGAAUGUUCAAAUGCUUCUAAUGCUACAAAUUCUUCAACUGUCUCUGCUAUCACUAAUUCCUCAUUUGAGGACAUUGCUAGUAUCACUGACGAUGCAGGGCUGAAGGAAUUGUACAUGACAGGCAUGUACAAAAGCCUCAAAGGGCAUCAGACUCUUUGUGAUGUGCUUAAAAAGCAUAUCCUCAACAGGAACCCUAGGAAAGAGGGUAUUGCCUUUGAGAGGAAACUCAAUGCUGAUGGUACAUAUUGGAAGCCUGAGCGGUACCCCAAAACCUCAUGGGUUGCUGCAAAGGGACCUCCAGUUGAUCCAUCUAAUUUAUCUGGCUUUACAUGUGAAUCUUCUCAUUCUUCUGAUGAGUCAUUUGACUCCAACUAUAAAUUGUUUAAAAUCAGAAUGUUGAAGUAUUUGCUAGAUAUGUUGGCACUAACUGCAGGAACGGUUCUCCUAUGAAGAAAAUCUGGGUUCCCAAAAGGUGCCUUGAAAGUCUUCAGGUGAAUGUCCUCAUGACACCACCUGUGAAGAAUAGGAACCCCAGAUCAAAUUCUUCAUAUGGAUCCAAGUCCUCAUACGGAUCGAAUUCCUCACGUGGAUCAUAUUCCUCAAAAGGAUCAAAGUCCUCAUAUGAACAUCAUCGUGCUAACAACUCUGUUUCGCAGGGAAGAGCUAAGGGCUAUGAAUAUGAGCAUUAUUCUUCUAAUCAUUAUGUUCAUAAGUCCUCGAAGAAUUUCUCUGCUUAUUCAUAUGCUUACCCUAACUCCUCUUAUGUGAAACAAAAUGGAUUGGCUUCUAUGCCACCUUUCUCGUAUGGAGCUCGCAGGGUGAUGAACUCUUUGCCACCCCUUCAGAUGUGGGUGGUGAAGAAAAAGGACUAAUCUCUUAUGCAGGGUCAGGUCUCCAGACGUGCUAAAACAUUUGAAGAAUUUGCUAGAGACCUGAAAAGUGCCUGAAAGGACGCAGGCUAAUCAUGAAGAAAUGAACUUUCAUUUCUCACGUCCUCAUACUAUUUUAACUGUUGCAUUGCUUGAUGAAAUUGGUCUGAUGAAUUGUGAUGUCAUAUUCUUCACUAAUGAAGUAUAUGAAGUUCGUAAGCUGCACUAAUUCAUCUGCAGGAUGAUCAACCCAAAGCCACUGAGUGGGUCCUCAAUAGUGGAUGUACAAAUCACAUGACUGGUGACAAGAAUCUAUUGAUGGAUGCUCCCUUAUCACCAUCGCAUCUGAAGCAUAUCAUCUUCGCUGACAAAGGCAAAAGUCAGGUAUUGGGUCUAGGUAAGGUUGCGAUCACAAAGGAUCGACACAUGGACAAAGUCAUGCUUGUCGAGUCCUUAGGAUACAACCUCAUGUCUGUCUCAAUGCUUUGUGAUCUUGAUAUGGUUGUUGUCUUUGGCAAGUAUCGUUGUGUUGUGGUUAUGGAAGCUGACAAUUCCAAAGUCUUCGAAGGCUUUAGGAGAGGAGACUUGUAUAUUGUUGAUUUCUCUACAGGACCGCAACCAGCCGUGUGCCUACUUGCAAAAGCUUCAAAAGGCUGGCUAUGGCAUCAACGACUUGGUCAUGCAGGCAUGAGGAAUUUGCACACGCUUGCGAAGAAGAAGCACGUCAUUGGCAUUGAGAAUGUCAAAUUCCUCAAGGAUCACUUAUGCGGAGCGUGUGAAGCUGGAAAGAUGACCAAGGCUAAGCAUCCAGCAAAGACUAUCAUGACCACUACUCGACCAUUUGGAUUGCUUCAUAUGGAUCUCUUCGGUCCUAACCAUUACUCAGCAGUCACAAAUGAUGCAUCUCUCUAUGGCUUUGUUAUUGUUGAUGAUUACUCUCGUUACACUUGGGUACAUAUUGUCACUUACAAACAUGAAGUGCAGGAAGUCUUCAAACGAUUUUCCUCGAGGGCUUCAACCAACUUCGGUGUGAAAAUCAAGGACAUCAGAAGUGACAAUGGAACUGAGUUCAAGAAUUCUGGUCUUGAUGACUAUCUUGAUGAACUUGGUAUUACUCAUGAGUUAUCUGCUCCUUACACUCCUCAGCAGAAUGGCGUCGUGGAGCGCAAGAACAGAACUCUUGUUGAGAUGGCUCGCACUAUGCUUGAUGAGUACAAGACGCCUUGUCACUUCCGGAUUGAGGCAAUUUAUACUGCGUGCCACAUCAUCAACAGGGUAUAUCUUCACAAAUUCUUCAAGAAGACUGUCUAUGAACUCCUCACUGACAAGAAACCCAAUGUGAGUUAUUUCAAAGUCUUCGGUGCUAAAUGUUGGAUUAGAGAUCCUCAUCACAAUGCUAAAUUUGCACCGAAAGCACAUGAAGGUUUUAUGCUUGGUUACGGAAAGGACUCGCACACCUACAGAGUCUUCAACAACGUUCUUCACAAGGUUGUUGAAACUGUAGAUGUGCGGUUCGAUGAAACUAAUGGCUCGCAAAGAGAGCACCUACCCUCUGUGAUAGAUGAACCAGCACCUGAGGAAACUAUCAAGUUCAAGGCUACUGAGGAUGUCAUUCCUACCGAAGAAUCUGCUGAAGAAUUCAUUCCAGAACGUGAAGAACGUCGAGUUAAUGUACCUGAAGAAAAUGCUGAAGAAAAUGGUGCUGAAGAAAAUGCUGAUCAAAUUCAUCGACGACAACCAGCUCAUCCUCGCGUUGCAAAAGAAGUGCAAGUUGAAAAGAUCAUGGAUGACAUUGAAGCACCAGGUCCUCUCACACGCUCAAAAGCUUCACAUUUAUCUAACUUUUGUGGGCACUAUGCUUUUGUCUCUGUCACAGAGCCCACUAAGGUAGAUGAAGCAUUUCUGGAGCCUGAGUGGACUCAGGCCAUGCAAGAAGAAUUACAUCAAUUCGAGCUCAACAACAUCUGGGAACUGGUUAAACGUCCAGAUCCUCGCAAGCACAAUAUCAUUGGCACAAAGUGGAUCUACCGCAACAAGCAAGAUGAAAAUGGCCUUGUGGUGAGGAAUAAGGCACGGCUUGUAGCUCAAGGCUACACACAGGUUGAAGGAAUUGAUUUCGAUGAAACUUUUGCACCUGUUGCUAGACUUGAAGCUAUUCGCAUAUUACUUGCUUAUGCUAACCAUCAUGAUAUCACUUUAUAUCAAAUGGAUGUGAAAAGUGCAUUCCUCAAUGGUAAGCUUGAGGAAGAAGUAUAUGUUGCUCAACCCCCAGGUUUUGAAGAUCCAAAGCAUCCUGACAAAGUCUUCAAACUCAAUAAGGCCCUCUAUGGCCUCAAGCAGGCCCCUCUGGCAUGGUAUGAUACUUUGAAGGAAUUCCUCAUGAAGAAAGGCUUCAAACCCGGUUCACUUGACCCUACUCUUUUCACUAAAUCUUAUGAUGGUGAAUUGUUUGUGCGCCAAAUAUAUGUUGAUGAUAUUAUCUUUGGUUGUACUGACCAACGUUAUAGUGAUGAAUUUGCCUAUAUGAUGAGUGAAGAAUAUCAAAUGUCUAUGAUGGGAGAAUUGAAAUUCUUCUUAGGUCUUCAAAUUCGUCAACAGCGCAAUGGCAUAUUCAUAUCUCAGGAGGCAUGCAAGAUUGCAAAGGCGUCAAAAUUCCGAUGCCCACAAAUGGCCAUCUGUGCACUGAUGAAAAUGGUAUUGACUUCGAUCAAAAGGUAUACUGCUCCAUGAUUGGUUCUUUAUUGUAUUUAUGUGCAUCUAGGCCAGAUAUUAUGCUUAGUGUUUGCAUGUGUGCCCGAUUUCAAGCUACACCGAAGGAAUCACACCAUAAGGCUAUGAAGCAUAUUCUUCGAUAUCUAGCUCACACACCAAAACUUCGAUUAUGGUACCCCAAGGGCUCGGUUUUUGAUCUCAUUGCAUAUUCUGACUCUGACUAUGCUGGUGAUCGUGUGGACCACAAGUCAACAUCUGGUACAUGUCAUUUCCUCGGACGAUCUUUGGUCUGUUGGUCCUCGAAGAAACAGAACUGCGUAUCACUGUCUACUGCUGAAGCUGAGUACAUUGCUGAUGGUUCUUGCUAUGCUCAAUUGCUGUGGAUGAAGCAAACUCUCAAGGACUACGGCAUCAACAUGAAGAAUGUGCCUCUCUACUAUGACAAUGAGAGUGCCAUCAAGAGUGCUCACAACCCAGUUCAGCACUCAAAGACAAAGCACAUUCAGAUUCAUCAUCAUUUUGUUCGUGAUCAUGUGUUGAAGGGCGACAUUUCUAUUGAGCAUGUGAAGACUGAAGAACAGCUAGCCGAUAUCUUCACAAAGCCCUUGGAUGAGAAGAGAUUUAGCAAGUUGCGUUGUGAGCUAAAUAUCUUAGAAUCUUCUAAUGUUCUUUGAAAAGGACACUCAUCCUAACACUUAUGCAAAAUUGAUGACUUAGAUGUGCAACACAUGAAGAAACAUUUUUCUUCAAUCAAUGAAGAAUAACACUCUAAGUGUGAAGAAAUUAACGAAGAAUUUGAUUCUCAGAACCCUACGACAAUUGUACGCGGUGUCUAAAAUCAUCAUUCUUAUACGGUGGGUCACGCCACCACCAAAAGUUGAAAAUCUUCAAUUUGAGUUUUUCCUCGGUGAAAUUCCUCAGUUGUUCAUUUUCUUCAACUUUGCAUUGUCUUCACUGUUUCCGUCGUUUUUCUUCAUUGGCUAUACAUAUACUUAAAAGUGAAUGUGAUCGGACCCUUCGCCCUCUAUGCUAUACUCAACCCAAUCUAUUCACAAAUUCUUCAUGUGCAUUCUAUUUGAAACUCGUUCAAAAUCUUCACUGUGUCCUUGUCAGCUGAAGAAUUUGCGAAUGGAACUUUUAACUUAUCUUAUCCAAAUUUUUGGCUUUGCCGCUCAAACCGUUCCGCAUCCCACGAAAUACUUAUAUAUUCACCCACGAUCUAACACGAUCUCCACUUCUCAGUACGUGGGUGACACAUGUCAAGAGAAUGAGAAGGGUCAGGGGCACGUUCAUCCAAAAUCUUCGGGCGAACAGUUUUUCACUGUGGCUAUAAAUACCCCCUCUCCCCUUCCUCACUUCCUUUACUCUGCUCGACCUCUCUCCAGCUCGAGCUUCUCAAACCCUAGCGCCGCCGCUACUUCAUCGUCGCCGGUGAGGAAGAGCUUCACUGCCUCGACCUCGUCGCCGCCGUACUCGCGCCGGCCGCGGAAAUCUUCACUCCGCCGUCGCCGUAGCCAUCUUCCUCCGCUGAGUUAGGGCGUGGAAGAUCUGCACAGACGAACUUCUCAUCUCCACCUCACAGUUCGUCGUGUUCUUCGUCCAGGGUAAUUAAAAGUUACUUUUACUGCCCUCUUUGAUUCAAAUGAUUUCUACAAAAUCUUCAAAGGUGUUUAUUCUUCAAAUUCUUCACGCACUAAACACCUCACAUGUCAUCUGUUCUUGAUUCGUUUCUCUAAGCAAUAAUUUUUCUUCAAGAUUCCUCAGUUGUGUGGAUCUUCGAUCUAUACAACUCUGGAACCUAAGACAAAGAACGCUUAGUGAAAUUCUUCAAGACUCAUCUGGUCAAAUUCCUCAAACUUGUUCUUUUUUUAAAACCUUCUGAGAACGCAUAUGACCUCUCCAAAUUCCUCGCAACUAUACUCUGUUCACAGGUACUCAUGUCCGCUGCUAAAUCUCUAGGUUCUCAUCAACUUAACUCAUUUGCAGCGUUCCUCAAAGAAAAGUUGCAUACUUCUUCAGAGAAUUCAAUUGUUCAAAUUCCUCAUCUGAAGAAAAUGGCUGAUGGAAAGAAGCCACAGAAAGGAGGAAAGAGGCCUGAGGUCAACACUGCAUUUGAAAUCCCUGAGGACAUCUAUGUUGGGUACUGCACACCCCCUGAGGAAGAUAAAAAUCAGCGCAAGGUGCGCAUUCAGAAGAUAGAGAGGAGAUGGGCAAGAGAGUGGAGGGAGUACAGGUAUGUGACUCCCAAGUACAUGAAGAAAUUCACACUCAAUCCUCCAUGCCGAAGACCUCCGUUGGCACCUGGCCAAGAAGUUGAUCCCACCAGCCUCAAGCGUGGUGAGGAUUAUCCUGUUGAAUGGGCCAAGCGCCAGGCCAAGCUGGCUAGACAAGCCAGAGAAGCAGUGAGGAAAUUCAAUGAAGACUCUACUGUUGUUGUUGCCGCUGAGGCCUCUGUCAAGCCGAAGAAAUCCAUGGCAAAGAAGCCUGCGCGUAAGCCAAGUGCUUCACCUUCAAUGCCCUCAAGGCCAAGUUCCUCAGCAAUGCCCUCACGGCCAAUUCCUCACGCUGCUCCUGCUCCUCCAAAAUCCUCAGCUCCUCCGCAUAAGUCCUUAGCUGCUCCAACCAAAUCCUCAGCACCUGUGCAUCUUGCCACGUGCCAAAGGACUACAGGCAUCUCUAUUGCCUCUGGAGCUUCAGCUAGUUCCUCAGAUGCUCCAAAUUCUUCAACAGGACCCUCUCUGCUGAAGACAAAGACCACUGCUGGACGAGGUUCUCGCCCAAGUCCUCACAAGAAGUAGGUCGCCUUCCAAGUGCUGUCUGAAGAAGACGAAACUGAUGAUGAAGAACUUGCUGAAAUCAUCAGAGAUAGGCAAGUCAGGGCCGCUAGAGCCAAGGGCACAAAUGUGCCUCUGCUUUUGGAUCCAAAGUUGAUCCUCGAUUACAUUGAUCUCUGGCACAAGGACCCAAACACUCCUAUGCCUGACUUCAAGCUGACUCCUGGCCAAAAUCAUAUGCUGACUACCUUCAUCCAAGAAGAGAAAUGGAAAUUUGAGAAGGCCGGGCAGAUCAAGAAAGCGCAGUACAGGAAGGAGAAAUUCCUGAAGAACAACGUUGUCUCUAUGACAACUGAUGAUCUUGUGAAGAUCUAGUCUGAAAUCAAAGUCCUCAGUGAUGAUUUCAAUGCUUACUAUGCUGAUUGGCAAGGAGCCAAGGUCAGGUUUGUUAAACUGACUGAGAAGUUCCCCUCCAAUGUUGCAGCCCCAUCGCAACAAGAAAUUCCUCAGACUGAAGCAUCUGCUCAGCCAACUGAAGAACAUGCCAGCACCGCUGAUGACAUUUAGGCUGCUGAAGAAAAUGUGAGUUACAGGGCUGAUGACUGCAUUCCAGCCGAUGAUGAAAUUGCCAGGGCAUCCACUAGUGGUGCGCCUGAAGAAAAUGAAGAGGUCAGGGCAACUGCAUCAGUUGUGCCUGAAGAAAAUCAACCACAUUCCUCUGCUCCUCCUGCGCCUACCCCAACUCCAAUUCUUCCAUCUGCAUCAGAUGUGAAGAAGACCAAGGCUGCAGAGCGUGCAGAAGUGAAGAAAAGGAAAGCAUCAGCUUCAUCAGAUUCUUCAGCUCCGAAGAAGAUGAAGAAAUUGACCAGCUCAGUUGCAAACCCCAUUGAUGUUGUUCCGAUCUCAACCAUGCCAUCAAAUGACCUUGUUCCUUUUGAUGAAGAAUAUGUGAUCCCUAGCGGAUCUGAUGAAGAAAAUCCUUCUGCUGCUUCGUCAGAGCAGAUGGAUGAAGAAAUUGAAGAGGAUGAAAUCCUUCAACUCCAGCUGUUUCCUCGCCUAUGCCUCAGUUUACUGCUAAAGAGGCCGGCGUCGAAGAAAUGGAAGAUGAGGAUGUGGACAUUGGUUGUACCACACCUGUGCUGAAUGAUGACUUUUGGGAAAGUCAGCACCCCAACUCUCCACUGUUCACACCGUUGCAACAAAUUCCUCAGUCCCCAGUAACUACAGUUCAAAUGGGAUCUAAUGAACCACAUGCCACACCGUCUGUCCAUGAAGAAAUUCUAGCCACUAGUGCUGAAGAAAAUGUAAAUGAAGAAUUGAAGACCCAGGCUGUCACUGAAGAAGAAGCUGAAAUUCCUCGGCCUGUGGAGCCUGAGAUUGCGAUUCCUGAGGUAAUAAUGCAAUUGACUGACACUCCUCAGCCCAAGCCAAAGGAUCCAUUCUCAAAGAAGCAGAAAUUCAAGGCUGAUGAUUUCUUUGGCGAGCACGUGUUCUUCACUGACUACAAUCCCUAUGAUUCUGCUCGUCUUAGAAGGAAGCGCUUCUGGACCGCCAGCCAGGCCAACUUCUAUUCUUCACUACUCUUCAACAAGGACAAAGUCUUCGACCACGAGAAUAUUCCUCAUGUGGACAUGGAAUCACUGCCAUGCUUCACUCCUGUCCUCAGUGUGCUUCAUGACACAGGCCUCCUCAACUUUUGCACAGACAUAGUUGAUUGGAAUGAAGAACUCAUUCUUCAAUUCUACGCAACUUUGCACAUCACAGGAGAUCCUGACGAUGUGAACUCCUGGGUUUUGGACUGGAUGACUGAAAAUACUCACUAUAAGGCACCGGCCACUGAAUUACUUCACGCCCUGCCAAGCAGUUCUCCACCUGAAGGAGCUCGUUGCAUGUACCAAGAACCUGAGCUUACUGAUCACUAUAUGCAAGUGUUGAUGAAGCCAUUGAAACCAGGUCAAGCCUCAAGGACAAAAUUCCUCGUGAAGGAAUUGCAGUAUGUACCAAGGACAGUCUAUCGCAUUCUGACGAAGACUAUGAGUCCAAUCAAAGGCCACGACUCAUCUGAUGAGGAAAUUGUUGGCAUCAUGAAGAAUCUGGUUUUCAACAUCAUUCAUGGCAUUCCUGUCAAUUAUCACGAUUUCUUCAUGAGGACUCUGGCAAAUGUUUCACUUUCACCGUUUGAGCUGAAGCCUUAUGCACCGUGGAUUAUGAGAUUCAUCAGAACAAGGUCUUCACUCAACUACAUAGCUGAUUUUCAGAAUCACCUCAGCUACUUGCCCCCGAUUGAAGUCCUCAAGCGGACCUAUUCCUCAGCUGAUGAAAAGGACAAGGCACCAGCUGUUAUUGAUGAAGGUAUUCGUCCAUUGGAUGGUCAGUUUCGCAAAGCUGCAUCUUAUUCCACCAAUGAUGACUCUGCCACUCAUGAUUCCGCUGCCCAUGCCUCCAAGCCAAAUCCUCAAGCCACUGCUCCUCGUGUGAUGACUGACCAUGAGCUUCUGCUAAGUCUUCACCAGAAGGUGGAUCGAAACCAUAAAUGGGUUAAGCGUCAGUUUGGUUCAAUUCUUCACAACAUGACUGCUACACAUAAUGCAGUGAAGAAAAACCUUUACUACCUCCAUGAAGUCUUCGAUCGCACCUGGGCUAUUCUGUCACAUGUAUAUGGUGAAGAAGAUCUGAAGAACAUGGGUCUCAAGGAGGACUUUGACUAGUCUGCACCUCCACCGAAGAAAUACAAGAAGGUCAAGGUUCCUUCCUUGGUGGCCAGCUCCUAUUCUUCAUCGCGCGAAACUGAUGAGCAUGAAGACUUGGACGACACUGCGGUAGGCCCUACAUCAAUAAAUGCCCCCAACAACGCUGGCGCUCCUUCAUCAACUUGAUAUUCUUCAGGGGCGUUAGUCCUCAUUUUCGAACCUUUUGGUCAUUCGAUGACAAAGGGGGAGAAAUUUGAGUUAGUCUUCAAGCGGGUUUAUCUUUUAUGGGCUUUUUUUCUAAAUUACAACUCUCGUUUUUUCUGAUGACUUUGUUGGAUCGAGUUGUAAACUUAAAACUCUAUGGUGGCCUGAUACUUUUGCUAUUUCUUCUGCAUGCUUAUUCCUCAUUAAUGUUAUUGCACACAUGCUGAAUUACAUCAGUCACCAUAUUUCAUCAUGCAUUUCAAAUUCUUCAUAUAUUAUGUCAAAUGCGUGUAUGAAUUACAAGAUAUAGGGGGAGAUCUCCAUGAUUCAACUCUUCAAGUGUGCAUUGCUUCAAAAGAAAAUUCCUCACUAUGCACAUCUUCAGGGGGAGUUCUUCUAUAUCUUGCAAUCAAAUUCCUCAAUAUUAGUAUUUACACUUCAUAUGUUUAUCCCCGUUGAAAACUUAACCUAUAUUGUCAUCAAUCACCAAAAAGGGGGAGACUGUAAGUGCAUCUAGUUCCCCUUAGUGAUUUUGGUGUAUUGAAUACUUAUAGGUUAAGGGACUAAUGUGUUUAUGAGUGUACACAGGUCUAUAAGUCUAUGAGGAGUUUGAUAUUUACAGAGAAAGUCGACCCCUAGAAAUGAAGUUCUUCGACUGAAGACUUUGGAUUUCUGAAGACCUUCUGAAGACUUUGAAAGUGAAGAAAUUGGUGUGACCUUGAAGACUUGGUAUUCAUUUGAGGAACAUGAAGUGUGAAGACUUUUGUUUUCGUAGUUUCAUUUUCUCUUUCUUGAGUCAUAGGAAACACCGUACUGUUAAAGGGGGUCGAGGAAAUACUAAGGAAAAUUUUCCAUGUGAUGCUCAACUCAAAAUCCUACACCUACCAAUCCCUUCGAGUGAAGCCAUUGGAAAUCUCAUACAGUUCAGUCAUAUUCUUCAGUGACAGAGACGAAGUUCUUCUGGUCUCUGAGUAAUUUGUUCUGACUGAGGAGUUAGGAAUUCGCCAGUGCGGAUUGCCUACACAGUGAGGAACAUGAUAGCCCUGAGGAAUUUGAUACUCAAAUUUUCGACCGUUGUUGUGCUAUGCGCCAGCUGUCCCAAAAUAUCUACCCACCUAACGGUCAUAUCAUUGAAGGGCAUUUAUGUCUUAUCAUGUCGGGCUGCUCCCUAGGCUAUAAAUAGCCGCCCCCUACAACCACUAGCUGGUUGGCUGCUCCGAGAGAAACUGACAUUUGUCAUUUGAGAGCAUCCCAUCCUCCGAGGACUUUGAGCGAAAAUCAUCAAGUGAGGAAAACCCAAACCCAAACACCUACAAACCCAAAGUGAUUGAGCGUCACUUAAGAGAUUGAUCCUGCGUGGAUCCGACGCUUGUUACCUUUGAAGACUGUGCUUCUUCCAGACGGUUAGGCGUCAUGGUCUAGAGCAUCCAAGAGGAAUUGUGGAUCGCCGAGUGACCGAGUUUGUGAAGGUUCGGAAGUCACCUGAAGACUUACCACGAGUGAUUGGACGAGGUCUGUGUGACCUUAGUUCAAGGAGAAUAUGAUGAGGACUGUGUGUCCGGGACUGUGUGUCCUCGGGUUUAAAUACCUAGCCGCUCCAACCAGAUGUACAACUGAGACAGCAAUUGGAACUGGUCUACCAAAUCAUUGUCUUCACCAAGCUUACUGGUUCUAUUUCUUCAACUCUUUCAUUUCCUCAUUACUGUGUUGUGUGCUUGUCAUAUCUGUGUUUGAAGACUUUGACAGAAGACUUUCUCAAUUUCCUCAGUUCAAUUUCUUCAGUCUGUUUGUCUUCAUCCUGUGCUAUCCUGUGUUUACGCUUUCUGUACUCUGUGUUUGUCUUCAUUUCAUCAUGAUGACCAUGCCUAUGUUCUGCUAUGCUUACUCUUGAGUACUUAUUCCGCUGCAAGUAGUUCUUCGCUAAGGAAUUUCCUCACCCACAAAUUCCUAAGUGAAGAAUUCAUAAAAUCGCCUAUUCACCCCCCUCUAGUCGAUAUAACGCACUUUCAUGCACGUAACAUCAAGAUGCAUUUGUAUGAGUAUUUUAUCUUGUGAGAGAAAAGGAUGAACGAGGGAAGGCCUUAUUUGCAAAUGUGGAGAGGUGUGUGGGUACCUUUUUGCAAAAUUGCCAUAGUUUCCUUCCUAUCCGUCAGAUAUAAAUUGGACGGCCUAUAUUGCAGGAUGGCAGGCACACCAUCAUCACCAACUCGUCUAUACUGUGUUAAAAAAACUCUGUUUUUUAUAAUUAUAUAUGUUAUAUAUAUAUUCCCCUUGAUUUUUCUUAUGUAUAAAGUUGUGAUAUAAAAUAUUUUUAUAUUUCUUUACAGAGGGAUAUCUCUUUGUCAAAAAUAUAUUUAUGUGUAACUAGUUACUCCUGUCUUUCUACUUCCUUUCGCUGAUAUGUGGGGCAUCCGGCAACGGGGUCCACGUGCCAUAUGCACCAAAUUAGAGUGCACAACUGCACGGUAGACACACCCCGGUCGUAGCGCCACAGUAAUGCCUAAUGAGCCGUCAAAUCACAAAAAAAAACACCUUUCCAGCUUUAGCAGUAAGCUGGACGGACGAAGCGGCAAUAUUUCACUCGGCCUGAAUCCCCUUCUCCCUCGUUUGCUUGUUCAGAGAAAAACCCCUCUCGGCGAUUGCAUAGGGUUUUCUCAUCAAGAACCAGGUACGAAUUCUUCAUCCAUCCCCGAUAUAUCCAAGUCCCUUGGUUGCGGGUAAUCCUAGGAUGCCAGCCACCGUCGUUGAUGCAUUUUUCUUCCUACUGAAUCUAGUGUGUUUCAUUUGUAGUGCCCGAAGUGUGAGGACCCUACAGGUUUCUGCGCCCUCGGCGAGACGCCACACUUGUUCCUUCUCAUCCUAAGACAGGAUUUUAAAACGUGCACGGUAUGUUCCUAGAAUCCUCUUUUCUAUUCGGGAGGGUGGGGUUUUUUGAACAUGCUGUCGACUAAUUUGGAAAUUUGGAUUGCUAUAUUUGGAUAAAAGGUACUAGUACCAUGGUCAACACUAACGUGAAGGAGGAAAUUAUUUCUAGAUUUGGAUAGGGAAUACAUUGUGUUCUCAUAUUAUUUUUCCUGCAGUGCAUUCCUUGCUCUGCCAGAACACAUGUACUCAAGAUGCUCAGCCUUGCCAUAACUGAAUACACCAGUUUAAUAGUCACAGUGAAGACAAGCCAUGGAUAUAAGUUCCGAGUUGGGUUCAUGAACCAAGAAGAUCGCUGCUUUUUUUAUGGCCGAACUUGGAUAAACUUUCUCAAGUGUUACAGACUGAAAGUUGGUGCACGAAUGUUGAUGGAAAUAGCAGAACCUGGUCUCAUCUUCACUGCGAUCUUCCACCCCGAUUUCGUUCCAAUUGUUCAUCCAUGUUAGUUUUGUAUCUGGUUCUUGCUUGUUGCCUCGAUUACUUCUUAAUCCACCUAUUAUGUCUAACUAAUCACAACUUAACUUUAGAAGUAGCAACGAAUCUCUCACGGAGAUGCUACUUCUAACUAAUAUUUUCUUAUAAUUGGUGGCACGUGUAGGUUUUUUCAGAGUUAAGCAGGCUACUCGUUUGUUAUUCUAUAAGAACUCGGCUGUUACUGAUGGCACUGAAGUUGACUGGGACGACAUCCACAAGUUCCUACACUUUAUUGAUCGUCUUGAGGUCCUUGUGGGGCGUUUCAAUGGUGGAAGGCCAUGUGGGAUAUGUGUGCCACUGCUGCACUCGUUGAAUAGGUCCAACUGUGUCGAGAAACUUAUGGCACGAGCUGUUUUCUAUUAUAUAUGUUGUUCAUAAACUCUUGCUUAUACAUAGUUUUACAGUUGUUAUCUUCUUCAAACAGAAACUGCCCAGUUCUAUUGUUCCUAUACAGAUGCCUGACCAUGGUCGGGUCAGACUUGCGCUUGGUCACAACAUGAUGUUUAUGUCGACCUACUCCAUUCCUCUUGGAGGUGAAAAGAUACUUAUUCAUGCGUGGUCUCAAGUAAUGAAGGCCCGUCCAUCUUGGAGAAUAGGACAGAAGAUUAUGUUCCUGCUUUUCCAUGGCUCUAAAGCAAAUAUCCUGUUUAUUGACCACAUUGCGAGAUGAAGCCACUUUCAGAAGGUUGUGGAUGCGCGGGGUGGCGCCUGGGCCUUGUCCUGGGGCUUGGCGGCCUCACCCUUGGUUAACUGUAGGCAAAGUAGCACUGUUCGAGGUGUGCUUUAUACGGUUGAACCUGUAUAAGUACUCAUACUGCUUUCAGCUAUGGUUGUUAAGUGCCCUUGUUGGUUUCAGUUAAGGUUGUUAAGUACUCCUGCUGCUUUUAUAGUCUGUCGUGUUUCUUCAGUCCUGUCUUCCUCCAGUCGCCAAAACCAAACCAGCGCCAGCGGGGCCGCCUGCUUCCGCCUCCCACGGCUGGUUGCGCCUCAGCGCAUCCAUCGCCGCCCCACCGUCUCCUAAAUCGUUAACGCCGACGUCUAAGGCCUUGUCAUCGUCCUUUGCGUGCUUUGGUGCGCUCGCCGCGGUGCCGCCCUCUCGCGUUGUCAACAUGGUCAACAAACAAGAGGAAUCGGCAGAGGAUUGUACGUGGAGAGGAUGGCAGUAGGGGCCCACCAUGUCCAUGGCCGGACGCAAGGAAGUUCCUCAUUUUUUGUUAUAUAUACUCCAUUGUCAGCGUAUGGAAAAAGAAAAUGCUUCCUCCUAGUGGUUUCCUGACAUCUGGGACCCACGACAUUGUCAACGUAUAUAGUCAAUAGACAAGAGAACAACACAAGAUCGGCUCACACCUGGGACGUAGUUGCUUGAGCAGUAUUUUUUUUUUGUUAUUGUUGAGACGGAGCAGGGUUUCAACUGAGUUGUGGCCCGUCUAGCCUAGGCUUAUAUUUUAUGUUCACCACAUGACCAUCCCAACUAUUUUUUCUUUGUGAAAAUGAGCCCAGUUUAUUUUUUCUGAAGAAUACCCAAUCCAGGCCUACUUAUUUUUCUACGCCCUGAUGGGCUGCAACUCUUUCAAGACGCCUGCAAAUCUUGAAAGUAAUAUGAAAUGGGUUGUAAAUAUAAAAACAGAUGACAAAUUGGCAAUUACUUUAUAAUUUCUGAUUUUUUUCACAUUUUCAUAUUCCAAUUUAACUGGGCUUUAACCUAAUUUAAAUAUAUCUUCAAAGUACUUUAAAUCUGGCUCGACAUUUCGGUAUUAAAAAUAGUUUGGAACCCACAAAAAUAUGCGAAAUUUUGUUUAAAUUUUUAACCCUGGCCCUGGCCAAUAAAAAAACGGACUGCAAUAAAUUGCAUAAGAAGUUACAAUGAGCUAUAUAUAAAUUAUUAAAAAGAUAGGGAAUGGUCUGACUUGUGGGCCUAUUAAGUUGACGCGUAUGCAAGAUUUUUUUACUUAUUAUAUACGUCAACAAACGAUUCUAGCAGACGUAACCGUUGGAUGUCAAUCCAAUGCCCAUCGUGUUUCUUCAAUCUCCGAUCUUCUUGCUCCAUCCGCCAAAUCCAGCGUCGGCGGGACCGCCUGCUCCCGCCUCCUGUGGCCGGGUGUGCUGUCGCGCAGGCCUCACCGCCCCCUACUACUCCCACCGCUAGCCAGGCCAUCCCUCUACUCACCCACAUCCCUCCACUGUUGUGGCUUAGCCGCCUCCGGGUCAUUCCCUUCCUGGGUCUCGCCGUCGUCCAUCGCGCUGGUGUUCUCAGCACGGCGUGGUCAACGUUAUCAACAAACCACAUCAUCGGAAAAGGGAUGUACAUGGAGAGGCUGACAGUUGGGACCCACAUGGUCCAUGGCCGCACGCAAGCAAGUACCUCCUUAUUAUGCCAAAAAGAAUGAAUACUCCCGCUGACAGCUCGGACCCACCAGCUAUAUCUUCGCACGCAAGGAAGUGCCUGUGACACCCAAAAUUUUAUUUGGAUUUUUCAAAAAAAUUAUUUGACUUGAGGGAGGUGAUUUAAAUUUUUCCUUCAAAAGAACCCUCCCUUUCAAAAUAUAUUUUUAUGGCAAGAGUUUUAUUUGGUUUCACCCAAGGCUUGAUUUUGGUCUUGGAAGUUCUUGCUCUUUAUUUUGGACUCAAGCUAAAAUGCUUUUCACUUGGGAAAGAUGUCUUUUGAAAAUUUCUUUGAAAAUACUCCAUAGCUUUUGGAAUGAUCUUUUCCCACUUUCAACAAAUCCCUCUUGCCAUGGCCUUAGUGCAAAUCCACUCUCCUAAACCUUCCCUCAUCUUUGGAUCAUGAUUUGCAUCAAAUCCAGCAAGUUGAACCUCCCCAUAUAUUUAUUUUUCCAUUUAAAUCUCAUCAAAACAAUUUCUGCCUUCUAUUCUAGCCCUUGGAAAUUUACAAAGGAACUACUCUUUCUGUUUUGAUUUUUGCCCCCAAACCAAUUCCCCUUCCUAGUCCUUUGAACCCUCAACCAAGAUCCAUGAAGAUCCACUGGUCUCCAGUUCAAAUUUUUCAAACUAUACUUGCUGCAAGUUUGGACCAGAUUUGUCAAAUUUGAUGAAAUUCAUUCAAAUCCUUCUCCUAAAAAUCUGAGAAAAAUCAGACAGCCUCUGGGUGCAUUGAGAGGUCACCUCACCAAGUCCCAGCCCCAGGAAAAUUUUUCUUCACUCCAAAUCAUUUCGUCGAACACCUACUGGACACUGUUGCUGUCAUUGUUCAGUUAAGUUCAGAGAACAGUUUCAGUGCACUAUCGUUUUCUUCAGUGUUCGUUGUCCAUCUCGCCAGUGUCGCUGUGGCGCCUAGCUCCCCGUCUCCUCCCCCUUGUCCUCUGCACCGCACGAGCGCCUGGAUGCUUGCGGGCGUCGGCGACGUGCUGGAGGAGGUGCGCCGCCCCGUGACCGACGCCAGCGGCGGCUUUGCGGCCGCCAGAGAGAGGCGCGGCGCAGAUGGCGCCACUCAGCGCCGCCCAAGCCACCGGAGAGCGCCGCGUGGUCUUCCACUCCCCAGUGCGCGCUGCCACCCUCGUCGUGAACCGCUGGGCGCGGAGCCCGCUCUCUGUCGCCGUCGUGCCCGUGCGGCCACCCCACCAUGGACCGGCACCGUUACGCCAAGACCGACCGGGAUUAGCGGGGGAACGGCACCAGUACACCUCACUGAUGCUGCCUGGCCACUUAAACUCCCUGCCAAGACACUGCCUCGCCGUAAUUGCUCGCCGGAGCAACCCCGUUCACGGCCACCCCCUCGAUCCGCCUAUAAAUAGAGGCCCCGAGCUUCAACUCGAGCUCACACCACCUCUGCACUCCACCUAGACCCUGCCUAGCCACUGGAAGAGCCCCGAGGGAGUCUCCUCCCUCAACUCCGGCCGCCGCGACCCGCCACGGGAUCCAGCUCGAUUCGCUCCCGUGCGUGCACCUCUGCCUCCCAUUUCUUGCCAGUAGCCCUCUAGUGCAUCCCUCCUUCUGACCCGCGCUUCAAUUCGAAGUUUGCAGCACACCACCGGAGUUCUCCACCAUCACCCGAGCCGCCGUCCGCCGGAGAAAGUGUCGCUGUCGACGUGGUGCUCCCCGUCGGUCGAGUCCACCACCCACCGAUGCGGAAAGACACGCUGAAGCUCUUGGUACACUCCGAUCUCCCUGUCUCACCGUGGUUCGACGCCGGCGACCACCGCAGUCUUCGGGCGCCGGCGAGCUUUUUAAACCUGACAUGUGGACCCCCUCUGUCAGCCUCUAUUCUCUUCUCCCUCGAACCGUUUUCUGUUGGCGCCUUUGGGCAAAUACGCUUUCCCUUUAAGCUGGCGCGUUUCUUUCCGACGCGUUUUCUGCUUUCUCAGUUAAACCGCUGGAACUUUUCUGUUUCAUUACAGAUGAGUCCCUGGACAGAAACCUUUAUAACUUUUUAAUAAAAGUGAUUUUUGAGUGAUUUUUUUUCUGACAGUCUUAAAAUUUUGUCUAGUUUUUUAUGGGAUUUAUUUGGAAAAAAUUUGGAGAAGUUUUUAUGCACGCGUUGGUUUUCACGUUAGUGCCCGUUUUCGUUAUGCCGUAGGUUCCGGAAGAGGUGACGGAGCCGCGAACUUCGCCGAGCUAGACUCCGACUUCUCCGAACCAGGCAAGCAUGUUUGAACCUUUGAUAUGAUAGAUGCUUUGCAUGUUUGCAUGAGAGUUUGUGCGUGGCAUAUGAGUGUCGGUGAGUACCUCGUUGCUUGUGAGGCAACUACCCGCAUGUUCCAAAGUUGCAAUGAUCUCUGGUGAGAGAUGGCCUAAUCAUGUGGUGACAUGAAGGGCAGCAAGGUGGUACUGUUGUAGCAUGCCAGCCUUGCGUCAUCCGAUAAAUUCUGACGUUAACGUGGACGGAGUCACGUUAUUGUUCUUUUCCCUUCCGUACUACCACAUGUUUCUUUUGCCAGGAUGCGGUCUAGUAAGUUGGUAACCUCUUUUCGUGUACACACCAAACAGAGGGGACGGGAUGAUGGUUCCAUGGCCCUGGAUUAAAGCCAGUCAUCCGGUCAGGGGGCAUGGGAGUUUCCGGUUGGGACCGAGAGGGGGGGCACACCCUUAGAGCGCGCGUAUAGAAAUUUGAUCCCAUGCUACGCGAGGUUGUAGCCUCCCUGUCUCAAGGUUUUUCUUGAACGUUGCCGAGGGUGAUCCCUGGCUUCGGAAUGUUGAAUGGGUGUGUACUGGUUAGACGUGUUUCUUCCAAAACACCGUAGACGGAACUAGUCCCCGUGACUACUGAAAUCCGUUGGCUGUGGUUAAGUACAACUCUGCAAAGUCAAAUCCUUCCAAAUCAUCGUACCCAUGAUCAAGUAACGUGAUCAGUAUAGCCAUAUCUAUCCUCGUGGAAAUUUAUCCCCGGUGAACAAGCUCAAGUGGUAAACCCAGUUUAAUUGUUAUGUCUGCGGAUGGACUAACCUUAUAUUUGUCUCGUACUUGUAAUAAUUUAUGUUCCCGAGCUACUGAAUUAUUGAGCUACAAUAUAAGCCCUUUAUGUGAUGUCGCUCAGACGUCCGACUGUGGCAUGUUUGCCUUUUACUUUCAAUAUAAGCCCUUUAUGUGAUGUCGCUCAGACGUCCGACUGUGGCAUGUUUGUCUUUCUUUUCUGUUAUAAGCCCUUUAUGUGGUGUCGCCCCGAUGCCCGACUGCGGCAUUAUUAUUCUUGCAGUUUCCUCUCGAGGAGUCAUUCAGACCCUCGUUUGGCACCAGUAUUACUAUUCUUGCAGUUUCCUCUCGAGGAGUCAUUCAGACCCUCGUUUGGCACCCAGUAUUUAUUUUGGGAUUUCGGGAGGACUACCGCCCGACUUCUCGGUUAAUUUUUCCAUGCAUUAUUGUCUCUAUGCCUGAACGCACUUGUUAUCUGCUCAUAUGCUUCAUGUUUACAUUUGUUAUAUCUUAUGUCCGAACUGUCUUGCGAGUACUUUCAUAGUACUCACCUGGCUUGUUGAUUUGGCCAGAUGUUGACGAAGGCGAUCUCUUGGAUGAAGAGUUUGAUAGUGCGUCCGACGCCUAGAGGAGUCCCAGUCAGUCUUGUGCGAUCCUGGAUAUUGGUCACUUGUAUUAUUCACGCUUCCGCCACCCGCAAUAAGUCUCCUCGAGCCUCACUCCGACGCUCGAAGAGCGGUAGUUCUCAGGAGUCACAUCACCCACCCCGCUGUGAUAUUUCCACCACCGUUGUUAUCGUGAGUUAGUAGUUAUGCCACCCUAUCCGCCGUUAUGUUUUAUCGGCAUGUCUGUAAUAAAUUGUUGAGCAGUCCCCGCUCAAUCUUGUAUUAUAUUCAGUACUCCUGGUAUUUUUUCUUCUGUGACCAAGAUAUUGUCUACCAGUGAGAAGGAAUUCUUCCUUACUGGUCCGUAAAAGGGAUCGGUCUCUCAAUAAAUGUUUUAUUGAAAAACCGGUCAUGACAAGCUUGGUAUCAGAGCCAGGCUGACUGUAGGAAGCCACUAGGUGCGAUCGCUAAUCGGUUAUUAGCGUCUUUUGUGCUUUUUCAGCAUUCUUGCAAUUGUAGCUAUUUUCUGUUGGUCAUCAUAAAUUUAUGACAUGACUACUCAGAAUUUUUGCCUACUUUUGUAGAUGGCUGGCAGCAACUGCGAGACUCGAGUGUUCACGAACGUGCCCGAGGGGUUUGUCAAACUCCUCGUCUCCAUCACCAAGCCCGCGAUCGGGCCAGCGACUCGUCCGGAGUUCACGCUUUAUCAGCACAAGCUCAGCGACGACGUGUCUAUGCACCAAGCCGUGGUGCAAUUCAAGGGAGGACGUUCUGCGUCUCGCCACUUCCGUUUUGUGGGAAGGGCCAUGCCUACGGAGAGACAUGCCAUGCAGAUGGCUGCCCGUGAGGCGAUAGCUCGCCUUCGGGACAUCCUUCCUAUGAUGAAGACUCGUCGCUACCACUAUCUCCCAUGCCAUGUGUCGUACACUUGUCACUAUGCUUUCGCCUGCCAUCAGGGAGAGCGAGAUGAAGCCAUCGAGAUGGUCGUGGAGUACCUCAAGGCUCUGGAGGAAUCCUUCGACAACCUCGUGGAUGAUCUUGUGGCUGCCCGCAUGGACUUGGUCCGGGGCGGUCCUGCCUGCAGGAAGGAGCUUCUCCACACGGCACCGCCUCUGACUUUCGUCUCGUCUUCAGCCUCUUAUGCACCGGCCAUUUUGGCCACUGCUCGCCGUCUGCCUACCACUGAGGAGUUUGACCGAGUCAUCGCUCCUACUCCAGUCAGAGCUGCACCGCCUGCCACCCCUGCACUACCGCCUGUCGCUCCCGCACCGUCACCGCAGCGCAGUGCCACACGCCAGGAGCCAGCUAGAGAGGAGGUGGAGGUUGAUUCUCCUGCACCGCUGAGUCUUGCCCUCGGCAAGGGAAAGGACAUCGUCACCAUCUCCGACUGAGAGCACCGACUAGCCGCGCGUUAUGUCUGCUUGUAUGAUGUGUUUUAUCUGUACGCUAGUUUGUAUUAGUGUGUUCGCUGUUGUCCGGAGGAGUACGCUAGACUAGAUAACAUGUCAGGAUUGUCUACGCACAUCCUGAGUGCUGUACCGUGUGUUUGCUUUUCGCGUGUAAGAUUUGUGUUAAGCAGCCAUUCGUCUCCAUGCAAUGUCAUUUACGUUUUCUUGAAAAAUCUUGAGGUCUUUUAAAUUGUUGCCUUUGCAAGAUUUUCCUUGUGCCACACAGUUCUUCUCAUGGGUUUUGCAAAAUAAUACCCCAGACUGGAAAAAUGUCUCGCCCGUGGACUCGCUCCAUGCCCAAUCAGCCAGAAGAAGUUUAUGGGACACAGACUAGCAACAAUUUCACUCAGGGUCAGUCCAGUCAACAGGACAGCGAAGCAGCCCUGUCUCAAGUAUGCCGUCUCUUCGAACAGAGCCAGCAACAGCACCAAGAGAUGAUGAAUCAUGUCAUCAAUAUGGGAAACCACCAUGAACCCUAUCAACCGCAUUCCAAGUUAUCUGAGUUACAGAAGACUCACCCAUCAACGUUUGCUCACACCGAUAGGCCACUAGAAGCUGAUGAUUGGCUUCGCGACAUCGAAAGGAAGCUGAUUAUUGCCCAGUGUUCAGACCAUGAGAAGGUGCUUUAUGCACCACACUACCUUACUGGAGCAGCCGCAGCAUGGUGGGAAAACUUCCUACACAUGCACCCCAGUGAACACAACAUCACCUGGGAGGACUUCAAGGAAGGCUUUCGUGGGGCACACAUCCCCAGGAGCAUCAUAAAGAUCAAGAAGAGAGAAUUUGAUGACCUGAAGCAGAGAGGCAUGUCAGUGACAGAAUACAAUGGUCAGUUUACCCAGCUAUCUCGUUAUGCCUACGACGAGCACAUGACCGAGAACAAGAAGAUGGAAAAAUUCCUGGACGGCCUGGCACCAGCACUAAGAUGCCAACUGAUUGUACACACCUUCCCGGAUUUUAAAACUCUGGUUGACAAGGCCAUUACAUUAGAGAAUGAGCGACGUAGUCUGGAAGACAUCCGUAAGCGAAAGAGGGACAAGACGACUCUUGCUCGCAACAACCGAAGCAAGACUGAGGUUCCAAGGACAGAAGCAAGGAGAUCCACUACUACUGAUCCAAGGCCCGUCAGGCAGUUUCAUGCCAGGGGCAAAGAGUUCACGUACCAUCCAGGGGUCACCUGCUAUGCUUGCGGUGAAGAAGGGCAAUAUGCUAAAGAACGCCCAAAGCCGAGGAACGCGGCCCCCAAGCCAAACAAUGGUGGAAACAAUCAAGCCCCCAAGCGCAACAAUUUCAACCCCAGCAACAACCACAGGAAGGGUCACCUGAACCAUGUGACCAGGGAAGAAGCGCAGAAUGCCCCAGACAUCGUGCUCGGUACGUUCCCUGUCAACACAGUACCUGCCACGGUUUUGUUUGAUUCUGGAGCUUCCCAUUCGUUCGUUUCGAAGAGUUUUGUUUUGCAACAUGGUUUUCCGAUACUUCCCUUGGAAAAAUCUAUGAUCAUCAAGUCCCCCGGAAAUAAGCAAAUCGCUCAGAGUUAUUGCCAAGGAGUAAUCAUUGAGUUCGAAGGACUACAGUUCCAAGCAAAUCUCAUCGUGUUGGAAAAUAAAGGACUGGAUGUCAUUUUAGGGAUGGACGGGUUAACCACCAACAAAGGAUUCAUUGACUGUUUCAAUCGGACCGUGAUUCUCACUCACCAUCAUGGCAAGACAAUAAAGGUUACAGCUCAAGAAAGGCCACGGUCACGGCAACCAAAACUGAACAAAGUGGACAUUUCGGAACUGAGAAAAGUUCCAGUGGUAUGCGAGUUUCCUGACGUAUUUCCUGAAGAACUACCAGGCAUGCCACCAGACCGAGAGAUAGAAUUCAGCAUCGAACUAGCACCUGGCACCGCUCCCAUCUAUAAGAAACCUUAUAGAAUGGCACCCUCAGAAUUGGUGGAGUUGAAGAAGCAGAUAAAGGAAUUAUUGGACAAAGGAUUUAUUCGAGCCAGCUCCUCACCAUGGGGUUCGCCAGUGUUGUUCGCCAAGAAAAAGGAUGGGACACUGAGACUGUGUAUAGACUAUCGAGCCCUCAAUAUGGUCACCAUCAAAAACAAAUAUCCGAUGCCACGGAUAAAUGAUUUGUUUGACCAGCUCGCGCAAGCCAAGGUGUUCUCAAAAAUUGAUUUGAGAUCGGGAUAUCACCAAUUGAAAGUACGAACAGAAGAUAUCCCCAAGACAGCAUUCACGUCCAGAUAUGGGUUAUAUGAGUUCACAGUGAUGCCUUUUGGACUAACGAACGCCCCCACAUAUUUCGUCCACCUCAUGAACAAAGUGUUCAUGAAAUUCAUGGACAAAUUUGUUGUAGUGUUCAUUGACGAUAUUCUGGUUUACUCAAGGACACCGGAAGAGCAUGCUGAGCAUCUCAGAAUUGUUUUGGGAGAAUUAAGGAAACAUCAGUUGUACGCCAAAUUUAGCAAGUGUGAAUUUUGGCUAAGACAAGUUGGUUUCCUAGGCCACAUAUUGAACCAAGAAGGCGUGGCUGUCGACCCAGAGAAGGUCAAAGCCAUACUUGACUGGAAGCCACCCGCCAACGUGACAGAUGUGCGGAGUUUCCUGGGAAUGGCCGGAUAUUACAGAAGAUUUAUUGAAGGGUUCUCCACUGUGGCAAAACCAAUAACACAGUUGCUCAAGAAAGACAAGAAAUUUGUAUGGACGGAAGCAUGCGAGAAAAGCUUCCAAGAACUCAAGAAGAAACUGACAACCGCACCAGUCUUAACUAUGCCAGACAUACACAAGAGUUUUGAAGUAUAUUGUGACGCGUCCCGAAAAGGCCUCGGAUGUGUACUAAUGCAGGAUGGCAAAGUUGUCGCGUAUGCCUCCAGGCAGCUGUGAAAACAUGAGGAAAAUUACCCAACACACGACUUGGAGCUAGCAGCAGUCAUACAUGCACUCAAGGAGUGGAGGCACUUUCUGUUGGGAAAUCGCUGUGAAAUAUAUACGGACCAUAAGAGCCUCAAAUAUAUUUUUACACAGCCAGAGCUAAAUUUACGCCAACGACGCUGGUUGGAAUUGAUCAAGGACUAUGAUGUCGGUAUUCACUACCAUCCAGGGAAAGCAAAUGUAGUGGCCGAUGCCCUUAGUCGAAACCCCAGCCCGGACAAUGAAAGUCCGCAAAACUUGAGGCCUGAGUUUCAGCAAGAGUUCGCUAGGCUCAACAUGAUGUUAGUCUCUGAAGGCACCGUAUGGAGAUACAACCCACCCUAGUGGAACAAAUUAAGAAGGCUCAGCAAGGACAUCCCAGCAUCGAAGGUAUAAAGAAGAAAAUGAACCUUGGUAAGGCCUCAGAAUUCGUCACAGACAGUGAAGGAAUAUUAUGGUACGGAGACAGACUUUGCGUACCUAACAUUGAGGAACUCAAGCAACAAAUCUUAAUCGAAAGCCACACCGCCCCAUAUUCGAUCCACCCUGAAGGGACCAAAAUGUACAAAGACAUUCAGGAAAUAUUUUGGUGGCACGGUAUGAAAAGGGACAUAGCCACAUUUAUUGCUUGUUGCGAUUCAUGUCAGCGCAUCAAGGCCGAGCAUCAAAAGCCAGCAGGGCUACUCCAGCCAAACAGGAUACCGGAGUGGAAGUGGGAUGAAAUAGGAAUGGACUUCAUCGUCGGACUACCACGAUCACAACGCGGAAAUGACGCCAUAUGGGUCAUCACAGACCGACUAACCAAGGUUGCUCAUUUCAUUCCCGUGAAGACUACCUACUCCACACAAAGACUGGCCAAACUUUAUCUCUCCCGUAUAGUUUGUUUGCAUGGAGUCCCAAAGACUAUAAUAUCCGACCGAGGCACACAAUUUGUCUCCAAAUUUUGGGAUCACCUGCAACAAGCCCUGGGCACGCAGCUAGCUUUCAGUACAGCGUACCACCCUCAGACUGAUGGACAAACAGAACGUGUGAACCAAAUCCUAGAGGAUAUGCUGAGAGCCUGUGUACUCACCUAUGGGUCCAGUUGGGAAGAGAGUUUGCCGUAUGCCGAGUUUGCUUACAACAACAGUUACCAAGCCAGCUUGCAAAUGGCACCCUUUGAAGCAUUGUAUGGACGGAGGUGUCGUACCCCACUGAAUUGGUCAGAAACAGGUGACAGCCGUAUCUUCGGCCCAGACAUGCUUAAAGAGGCCGAGGAGAAAGUUAAACAGAUCAGGGACAGACUCAAGACAGCGCAGAGCCGACAAAAGAGCUACUACGAUCAAAAACAUCGUGAGGUCAGCUUUGAACCCGGUGAUUCCGUAUACCUACGAGUGUCUCCUAUGAGGGGCUUGCAACGGUUCAAAAUUAAGGGGAAGCUAGCCUCGAGAUUUAUCGGACCAUUUCGUGUAGAGGCACGAAGAGGCACGGUAGCCUACAAACUAGACUUACCCAAGGAGCUGUCAGAUAUACAUGACGUAUUCCACGUCUCACAAUUAAGAAAAUGUGUAAGUAACCCGGAGAAACAUGUAUCUCAUGAGGACAUUGAUGUACAACCAGACCUCACCUACAGAGAGAGGCCAGUAAAGAUAUUGGAAGAGUCUGAACGGAGGACCCGUCAGAAAACGACAAAAUUUUUCAGAGUACAGUGGAGCAACCACACUGAGGAUGAAGCUACGUGGGAAAGGGAAGAUUUUCUCCAGGCAGAAUAUCCAUAUCUAUUCGAGGAUCAGCUGAAAUCUCGAGGACGAGAUUUUUCCUAAGGGGGUAGGUGUUGUGACACCCAAAAUUUUAUUUGGAUUUUUCAAAAAAAUUAUUUGACUUGAGGGAGGUGAUUUAAAUUUUUCCUUCAAAAGAACCCUCCCUUUCAAAAAAUAUUUUUAUGGCAAGAGUUUUAUUUGGUUUCACCCAAGGCUUGAUUUUGGUCUUGGAAGUUCUUGCUCUUUAUUUUGGACUCAAGCUAAAAUGCUUUUCACUUGGGAAAGAUGUCUUUUGAAAAUUUCUUUGAAAAUACUCCAUAGCUUUUGGAAUGAUCUUUUCCCACUUUCAACAAAUCCCUCUUGCCAUGGCCUUAGUGCAAAUCCACUCUCCUAAACCUUCCCUCAUCUUUGGAUCAUGAUUUGCAUCAAAUCCAGCAAGUUGAACCUCCCCAUAUAUUUAUUUUUCCAUUUAAAUCUCAUCAAAACAAUUUCUGCCUUCUAUUCUAGCCCUUGGAAAUUUACAAAGGAACUACUCUUUCUGUUUUGAUUUUUGCCCCCAAACCAAUUCCCCUUCCUAGUCCUUUGAACCCUCAACCAAGAUCCAUGAAGAUCCACUGGUCUCCAGUUCAAAUUUUUCAAACUAUACUUGCUGCAAGUUUGGACCAGAUUUGUCAAAUUUGAUGAAAUUCAUUCAAAUCCUUCUCCUAAAAAUCUGAGAAAAAUCAGACAGCCUCUGGGUGCAUUGAGAGGUCACCUCACCGAGUCCCAGCCCCAGGAAAAUUUUUCUUCACUCCAAAUCAUUUCGUCGAACACCUACUGGACACUGUUGCUGUCAUUGUUCAGUUAAGUUCAGAGAACAGUUUCAGUGCACUGUCGUUUUCUUCAGUGUUCGUUGUCCAUCUCGCCAGUGUCGCUGUGGCGCCUAGCUCCCCGUCUCCUCCCCCUUGUCCUCUGCACCGCACGAGCGCCUGGAUGCUUGCGGGCGUCGGCGACGUGCUGGAGGAGGUGCGCCGCCCCGUGACCGACGCCAGCGGCGGCUUUGCGGCCGCCAGAGAGAGGCGCGGCGCAGACGGCGCCACUCAGCGCCGCCCAAGCCACCGGAGAGCGCCGCGUGGUCUUCCACUCCCCAGUGCGCGCUGCCACCCUCGUCGUGAACCGCUGGGUGCGGAGCGUGCUCUCUACCGCCGUCGUGCCCGUGCGGCCACCCCACUGUGGACCAGCACCGUUACGCCAAGACCGACCGGGAUUAGCGGGGGAACGGCACCAGUACACCUCACUGAUGCUGCCUGGCCACUUAAACUCCCUGCCAAGACACUGCCUCACCGUAAUUGCUCGCCGGAGCAACCCCGUUCACGGCCACCCCCUCGAUCCGCCUAUAAAUAGAGGCCCCGAGCUUCAACUCGAGCUCACACCACCUCUGCACUCCACCUAGACCCUGCCUAGCCACUGGAAGAGCCCCGAGGGAGUCUCCUCCCUCAACUCUGGCCGCCGCGACCCGCCACGGGAUCCAGCUCGAUUCGCUCCCGUGCGUGCACCUCUGCCUCCCAUUUCUUGCCAGUAGCCCUCUAGUGCAUCCCUCCUUCUGACCCGCACUUCAAUUCGAAGUUUGCAGCACACCACCGGAGUUCUCCACCAUCACCCGAGCCGCCGUCCGCCGGAGAAAGUGUCGCCGUCGACGUGGUGCUCCCCGUCGGUCGAGUCCACCACCCACCGACGCGGAAAGACACGCUGAAGCUCUUGGUACACUCCGAUCUCCCUGUCUCGCCGUGGUUCGACGCCGGCGACCACCGCAGUCUUCGGGCGCCGGCGAGCUUUUUAAACCUGACAUGUGGACCCCCUCUGUCAGCCUCUAUUCUCUUCUCCCUCGAACCGUUUUCUGUUGGCGCCUUCGGGCAAAUACGCUUUCCCUUUAAGCUGGCGCGUUUCUUUCCGACGCGUUUUCUGCUUUCUCAGUUAAACCCCUGGAACUUUUCUGUUUCAUUACAGAUGACUCCCUGGACAGAAACCUUUAUAACUUUUUAAUAAAAAGUGAUUUUUGAGUGAUUCUUUUUCUGACAGUCUUAAAAUUUUGUCUAGUUUUUUAUGGGAUUUACUUGGAAAAUUUUUGGAGAAGUUUUUAUGCACACGUUGGUUUUCACGUUAGUGCCCGUUUUCGUUAUGCCGUAGGUUCCGGAAGAGGUGACGGAGCCGCGAACUUCGCCGAGCUAGACUCCGACUUCUCCGAACCAGGUAAGCAUGUUUGAACCUUUGAUAUGAUAGAUGCUUUGCAUGUUUGCAUGAGAGUUUGUGCGUGGCAUAUGAGUGUCGGUGAGUACCUCGUUGCUUGUGAGGCAACUACCCGCAUGUUCCAAAGUUGCAAUGAUCUCUGGUGAGAGAUGGCCUAAUCAUGUGGUGACAUGAAGGGCAGCAAGGUGGUACUGUUGUAGCAUGCCAGCCUUGCGUCAUCCGAUAAAUUCCGACGUUAACGUGGACGGAGUCACGUUAUCGUUCUUUUCCCUUCCGUACUACCACAUGUUUCUUUUGCCAGGAUGCGGUCUAGUAAGUUGGUAACCUCUUUCCGUGUACACACCAAACAGAGGGGCCGGGAUGAUGGUUCCAUGGCCCUGGAUUAAAGCCAGUCAUCCGGUCAGGGGGCAUGGGUGUUUCCGGUUGGGACCGAGAGGGAGGGCACCCCCUUAGAGCGCGCGUAUAGAAAUUUGAUCCCAUGCUACGCGAGGUUGUAGCCUCCCCGUCUCAAGGUUUUUCUUGAACGUUGCCGAGGGUGAUCCCUGGCUUCGGAAUGUUGAAUGGGUGUGUACUGGUUAGACGUGUUUCUUCCAAAACACCGUAGACGGAACUAGUCCCCGUGACUACUGAAAUCCGUUGGCUGUGGUUAAGUACAACUCUGCAAAGUCAAAUCCUUCCAAAUCAUCGUACCCAUGAUCAAGUAACGUGAUCAGUAUAGCCAUAUCUAUCCUCGUGGAAAUUUAUCCCCGGUGAACAAGCUCAAGUGGUAAACCCAGUUUAAUUGUUAUGUCUGCGGAUGGACUAACCUUAUAUUUGUCUCGUACUUGUAAUAAUUUAUGUUCCCGAGCUACUGAAUUAUUGAGCUACAAUAUAAGCCCUUUAUGUGAUGUCACUCAGACGUCCGACUGUGGCAUGUUUGCCUUUUACUUUUAAUAUAAGCCCUUUAUGUGAUGUCGCUCAGACGUCCGACUGUGGCAUGUUUGUCUUUCUUUUCUGUUAUAAGCCCUUUAUGUGGUGUCGCCCCGACGCCCGACUGCGGCAUUAUUAUUCUUGCAGUUUCCUCUCGAGGAGUCAUUCAGACCCUCGUUUGGCACCAGUAUUACUAUUCUUGCAGUUUCCUCUCGAGGAGUCAUUCAGACCCUCGUUUGGCACCCAGUAUUUAUUUUAGGAUUUCGGGAGGACUACCGCCCGACUUCUCGGUUAAUUUUUCCAUGCAUUAUUGUCUCUAUGCCUGAACGCACUUGUUAUCUGCUCAUAUGCUUCAUGUUUACAUUUGUUAUAUCUUAUGUCCGAACUGUCUUGCGAGUACUUUCAUAGUACUCACCUGGCUUGUUGAUUUGGCCAGAUGUUGACGAAGGCGAUCUCUUGGAUGAAGAGUUUGAUAGUGCGUCCGACGCCUAGAGGAGUCCCAGUCAGUCUUGUGCGAUCCUGGAUAUUGGUCACUUGUAUUAUUCACGCUUCCGCCACCCGCAAUAAGUCUCCUCGAGCCUCACUCCGACGCUCGAAGAGCGGUAGUUCUCAGGAGUCAUAUCACCCACCCCGCUAUGAUAUUUCCACCACCGUUGUUAUCGUGAGUUAGUAGUUAUGCCACCCUAUCCGCCGUUAUGUUUUAUCGGCAUGUUUGUAAUAAAUUGUUGAGCAGUCCCCGCUCAAUCUUGUAUUAUAUUCAGUACUCCUGGUAUUUUUUUCUUCUGUGACCAAGAUAUUGUCUACCAGUGAGAAGGAAUUCUUCCUUACUGGUCCGUAAAAGGGAUCGGUCUCUCAAUAAAUGUUUUAUUGAAAAACCGGUCUUGACAGUGCCUCCUAAUUACGCACAAAAAAUGAAUACUCCCCUGCUAGUUGGGACCCACCAUAGUGGGAGGCUGACUUGUGGGCCUACUAAGUUGACGCAGACGGAGGGCUUUGUCAACUUAAUCAACAAACGAUUCUAUCACUAGUGAUUGUUGGAUUGUUAACAUCCAACGGUCGUCCUGCUUCUUCAACCUCUGAUUUUCCUACUCUAGCCGUCCAAACCACCGCAUGCUCUUGCCUCCUAUGGCCAGUUGUGCCGCCGGGGAGGCGUCACCGCCCCCUACUACUCCCACCGCUGGCCAGGCCCUGCGGUGACGGUAACCUCACACCGCAGCCAAACCAGUGAACCCUCGUACUCCUCUCCGCGUGGGCGUCCACUGUCGCGUCUUCCCCGGCUCCGCGUCGUCUCCUUCCUAGGCCUCGCCGUCGUCCACCGCCUUGGUGCUCUCGAUGCGUCAUGGUCAAUGUGGUCAAAGAACGACUUCCAUCGGAAGAGUACUGUACGUGGAGAGGCUGACAGCUGGGUCCACGGCCGCAGCAAGGAAGUGCCUCCUUAUUACGCGCAAAAUAAUGAUUCCUCCACCUGACAGUAGGGACCCACCGGACGGUCCAUCGUAUUUCGUGAAAAAAAAGUUUCCCCUAACUGCUGGGACCCACCAGCUACAUCUUCGCACGCAAGGAAGUGCGUCCAUAUUACAGGCAAAAAAAUGAUUCGCCCCCUGACUGCUGGGACCCACCAGCUACAUCUUCGCAUGCAAGGAAGUGCCUGACAGUCGGGACCCACCUGGUCGAAGCGUACGUAGCGUUGUCAUUUUGGUCACGAACGUGUACGUACAUACUGGUCGAUCGGUCUAUCUGCAGGCUGCAGCGAUGAACCGUGGCCGAGUAAGGAAGCGCACGUGUCGUAGUAGAGGCGCGCAUGUAGCAUGUACACGUACGUAGUGCAAGAAAGUAAAUACGGCCACGUACGUACAUACGGGUGGGGUCUCGAACGCCUACUCACGCAUACGUGUACAUGGUUGGGUCGGAACAGAGAAACUGUGUCGUCGUGUUCAUCGGGAGCCAACCGGCUUGGACGGAACAGCUGAUCGAAACGAGGCCUGGCAUACCGCAGAACGGAGGAAACAGCCUUGUGUUCGACCGACCACGGUCGAAACAGGAUUCUGUUCAUCGGAAGGGGUCUGACGUACCGCAAAACGGAGGAAACGGACUUCUCUUAGACCUCAUAUGGUCGAAACGGGGUCCUGUUGAUCGGGAGGGGUGUGGCAUACCGCAAAACGGAGGAAAUGGACUUGUGUUGGAGCGCUACAGUCGAAACGGGGGUCCUGUUCAUCGGGAGGGGUGUGGCGUACCGCAAAACAGGACUCCACAGGAUACUGUUCAUCUCCACCGUCGACCUCCUCCAACCUCCACAGGCUACUGUUCAUCCACCGUCGACCUCCUCUAGCCUCCACCUGCUCCUGUUCAUCCACGGGCUCCUGUUCAUCCAGCCUCCACUGCUCCUCCACCCGCUACUGUUCAACCAGCCCUCUCCACGGGGUCCUGUUCAACCACCCAUCCACGGGCUACUGUUCAUCCAGCCCUCCACCGGCUACUGUUCACCCAGCCCUCCACGGGGUCCUGUUCAUUCAGCCCUCCACGGGGUCCUGUUCAUCCACCCCCAACCGGUCAUGUUCAUCCAGCGGCAACGGCCUCUACUACCACAGGGUCCUGUUCAUCCAACCCCCCANNNNNNNNNNNNNNNNNNNNNNNNNNNNNNNNNNNNNNNNNNNNNNNNNNNNNNNNNNNNNNNNNNNNNNNNNNNNNNNNNNNNNNNNNNNNNNNNNNNNNNNNNNNNNNNNNNNNNNNNNNNNNNNNNNNNNNNNNNNNNNNNNNNNNNNNNNNNNNNNNNNNNNNNNNNNNNNNNNNNNNNNNNNNNNNNNNNNNNNNNNNNNNNNNNNNNNNNNNNNNNNNNNNNNNNNNNNNNNNNNNNNNNNNNNNNNNNNNNNNNNNNNNNNNNNNNNNNNNNNNNNNNNNNNNNNNNNNNNNNNNNNNNNNNNNNNNNNNNNNNNNNNNNNNNNNNNNNNNNNNNNNNNNNNNNNNNNNNNNNNNNNNNNNNNNNNNNNNAGAGGCAGCAUCGAUCGGCUUCAGUUAGCAGCAGUAGCGAAGGAAUCACUCGGGUUCAGUUAACAGCAAGGGAUCGAUCGGGGUUCAGUAACGUAGCUAGUGCAAUUGCUUGGGUUCAGUUAGAGCGCAACGCCUCGCACACACGCGCGUACGUGUACGAGAGAAAUGUGCAAACCUCCGUGCAUCGCUCGGCCCCGACCACCCACCGUAACCAGGAACUCCCCAAUAUUUUCCUCGCCCUCGCUUCUACCACGGUUUUUUCCGUCAUGGACGGCCCAAAGAAUGUCAUGUAGCCGCCUCUCCGGCCCGCCCAGGACAAAAAGCCCAUUUUAUGUCAUGAUUUUUUGUCAUAGAAGUAGGAGCCCACCACAUCUAUGAUGAUACCAGAUUUUGUCACAAUUAUCAUCAUAGAAGUGUCAUAAGCAUGAUAGAAAAAAAUAUGUUCGACCCAAAAUGUCAUGGAUGUGUCUUUUUUUAGUGCUUGGAACAUCGCUCAUCUUCGGACUUAUUACACUUGAGCCACCGGCUCUUGUGUUGUACAUACUUUCAUCAAUGUAUAUAUUAUGAUCAAUAUAGUAAAGCCGGCAUCCCUGAUAAUUCAAGGCCUCUGUCGUUUCACUUCUAAGUAUCUGAGUCUUUAUUGUUUGUUCAUAAGAUCACUUGGGGGCUUUACUCAAUGGGCAUAGCUAUUCUUACCCUCUUGAUCGGCUUCCAUGCCAUAUUAUUGGUCACUUGGGGGCUUCCUACUCAAUGAGCAUAGCUAUUAUUACCCUCUUGAUCGGCUUCCAUGCCAUAUUAUUGGUCACUUGGGGGCUUCCUGCUCAAUGAGCAUAGAUAUUCUUACCCUCUUGAUUGGCUUCCAUGCCAUAUUCUAGGUCACUUGGGGGCUUCCUGCUCAAUGAGCAUAGCUACUCUUACCCUCUUGAUCGGCUUCCAUGCCAUAUUAUAGGUCACUUGGGGGCUUCCUGCUCAAUGAGCAUAGCUAUUCUUACCCUCUUGAUCGGUUUCCAUGCCAGAGGUCGCUUGGGGGCUUCCUACUCAAUGAGUAUAACUUUCAUACCCACUUGACCGGCUUCCAUGCCAUAACUGAGUUUGACCUGCCUGUCUGCAUGAUGCUACUCCACCAGGUAAUCCUGAAUGACCCGCCGUACUCUUAACAGUCAAUCUUUUAACUAAGACACUGAACUUGUUAAGGUUAAAACGGCGGUUUGUCAUGUGAGCGUCGGUUUACAGUGAGCGAGGACGACUCUAAGGCUGUGCGGCCUAUGAAAGCACUCAAAUCUUAGUGGUUGUGCGGCCCAUGAAAGCACUUGAAUUUUAAGGUUGUGUGGCCUAUAAACGCACUUGUCUUUUUCUAAAAUUCUUUUCUUCUGUACAUUUUGGAUUUGCGUCCAUCAACGAUUUCUUCUGCUCAAGUGUAUUUGGUGCAAUUCAGGCCAUGUAGCCUUGAUUAUAUGACUCAUAAUUGAGCAUAUUGGGUUGGUAACCUGCCCUAAUGGCGGAUUGUAAGCCGCUAGGAUAUUUGCCUCGAGCAAUCAAACAUGAUGAUAUUUCAUGUCUAUGGCUUAUCAUUAUCAAAGGAGUUACCAUGAUAUUAAUCUACAGGUAUGUUUUUUCAUGAUGAUAUGAAUAUUCACGGUUUCGUAAACCGCCCUGGUUUUUUGACUUUAAGUCGCCAGCAUAUCUCCGGCUUAGUUAGCCUUUAGUCUUUCUAUCAAAUAUUAUUAUAUCAGGGUUUGUUACCCGCCUUGGCUUAAACCGCCAGGGUACAUGCUUUUUCCUUGUGUGCAGGGGGUAUGAUAAUAUUCGAUCUGACCCACAUGAUUGAUAACAUUAUAAGCACAAGUGGGGGAUCAUAAAAAUUAGAUCGGCGGUUUAAGCAUUCAAAAGAUAAACAUGCACGAUGGCAUGAGAGACAAUUGUUUGCAAAUCUAGGCUAUUACAGGGCCACACUGGACCUGCCAAUUGAAGUUAAGUGUUUUUCAGCACAUUGUGCUUAACCCAUGAUUAAGAGCCGCCUGAGAUCAGUUGCCAUCGUCACGGCGGGUUGAUGAUUCCGGGUCAUCCUGCUCCAGCUCUUCUUCUUCGCCCAUCGGAAGUCAGGUGACGUCCAGUCUAUGCCAGUUAAGGCCUUGAAUACAGCUUCAUAAUCGACAAGUGUGGACGGAUCAACAUCAGGAGCAAAAGUAUGCUUACGUGUUGGAGGGAUGAGAUCCACAACUUCAUAAGUCGACGCUUUAACUUCGGCGUUAUCCAUGGUGUAUGCUGCCUGGUACUUGGAUAAAUCAAUCUCUUCAGCCAUUUUGCAUGCCAAUGGACGCAUCUCCUUCAUGCAAUUGGCAAAGUCUAUCUUCUUGAAAGGAGAUCCAUCUUCUUUUAGGCUCGGACAUCCAAUGGCCAUCUCUGCCGGGUCUAAUUCCGCUUGCCAUGCUUUGGCCCGGCUCAAAACGGUAAGGGCACCAGCUCGGGCGGAAGAUCGCUUUAUCUCUUCCAGUCUUUGAGGCAUAACAGACAGUUUGUCCAGUACCUCCCUGAUGAGUGUGGGUGGAUGUUUGCUAUGGGAGAUAGCCGCUAUCGUCCGCUGAGUGCCAGUAUAUAAUUGUUCCACCAGGGUGUACACGGCUUUGAGCUUCACAAGCAUAUUCUGGCCAAGGUUGCAGCUCCUGGGGCAUGUUGAGCAAACAUAUGGAUAAGUCACCAGGCAGGUCAAAGUAAAUCGGUUAUGAAAGAUUGAAGUAAAGUGUCACUUACCAAAGAUGGCGGCUAUCAUAUGAUUAAUGUGUCGCUUUAAGCCGGUUAACUCUUCAGUCACCGGCUUAAGAGCAGCUUCAACAUCUUCAGCUCUUUUUAGGAGUGCUGCUUUCUCAGUAUCCCAACCGGCUCUUUCAGCAUUGAAGUCCAUUCUCAAUUUUUCAAAUACUUCCAAGGCGGCUUUCAGUUCUGACCUGGCCUUUGAAGUUUCUGCUUGUUGCAAUUUGAUAUUCUGCCGCAAGUCGACUACUUGUGACUCCUUCAUGCUUAUUCAGCCUGAAAAACAAUAAUCAAACAGCACUUUGUAGUUAUGAUAAUCAUUCUAUUGAAGUCCCAAGCACAUUACAAGUACUCUACUUGGCACUUGGGGGCUAAUGUAGGUCAUUUUUUAAACAAAAAGUACUUAAUGACCCGGCUCAAUUUUUCAAUUUAAGCCGGCCCAUGGUGGCUACAUAUUUGGAUUUUUUUGCAAAAUGAUUUUAAGUCCCGGCUUAACUAUUCAGUCUAACCUGACCCUUGGGGGCUACUCAUUUGGAUCCAAUGGAGAUAAACUGAUUUUGAGGAGAUACAAGAUGAAGGCUAUUAUUUAAGUCUACAGUAUUUUCAGUUCUUUCAUAUCCUCUAGACUUGACGGCUGACAUGGAUUCAUAUGAAAAAGGUUUGGUUGUUUACCUCAAAGCGUUCCUUCGUCGGGUUUACCAGGCCGGCCUCCAUGUCACGGCUGGUGUGAAGGCGGCUCAAGUAGCCCGCAUGGAUUUCACUUGCGUUAAGCUAGCAUAGCUCUCCAGGUCCAAUUUCCAUUUGCCCUUUUCGACGGUUAAAACUUCUUCUUUGGCACUAUGUUUUGCUAAGAUAGCAGGAUUCCCUGGUUCUUUGAAGCCUGUACCAGUGAUGAUGACGUCCUCGGCAGUUUGUUGAGAAGGAGUCUCUUUGGCAGGCUUUGUAGGACUUGGCGGCUUAGCACUGGACGGGUCAACAUCCAUUGGAUUCACUAUGAGUUUCUGACGGCGGGUCAUCGGCAGUGGCUUCGGGGUUCUGAGUUGAAGCUUCGGAUAUCGACGACUGUCUCUCCAGCUCAGUGGCCUUUGGAACUUCGUCCGGCUUGCUUAACUUCAACUUCUUGCUUGCUUUGGCUAUACCGUUGAAAAGAAGACAUAAAUAUAUGAGUGUAUCAUCUUAAGAUGUUAAUCAAACAAGUAAGGUAUUCUUACCCAAGGGCAAUCUUGAAGGUAGGGAGCUGAGUUCCAGUUGAAUCGCCAGAGGAUGAAUGAGAAGUUCCCUGAUAAUUUGAGUCGGAAGGACUAAGGGGUUGACGAAUAAGACCCGCCUUUGGAAAGCAGAGGAGUGAACACUGAGGCACCUCUUUUCGACGUUUGCAAGGGACUGGCGUGUUGGGUAAGCUGGCAUGAAGGUCUCCCCCUCCGCUGUUCCGGUUUGUACAUCGGGCUUCAUGCUGUUGUUUCUUCAAAAUAAAGUUUGGAUCGAAGUAAGCUAAAGGGUGACAAAACCUUACUUUCUGGGUCACUUGCCGAACUUUCUGUCUUGGUAAAGGCUCUGAGUCGGAAGAAAUAAUAGUUACCUCUUUAGCAUCUGCCUGGCUGGUCUCCGCGUCAUCCUGAGAGGGGUCAGCAUCAAUAAGAUGUACAAAAAAGGAACCAAGAGAAUCAAGUUCUACCUCCGACUCAUCAUCCAGGGUGACUUGUUCUGUUACAUCUGUUGUCUUCUUGGUUUUCUUGGGAGCCUUGGUCUUUGUCCUGGCCUUUUUGGCCGGCUUAUCCUGCAGCUUCUUGUUCCAGAAAGGAGAGUCGGCCUGAAGAAAGAAAGUGAGGAUAAGGAGAAUACAAUGUAUGAGAAUAAUGAAUAAAAUAAAAAUGGUUUGAAACACUUACAGCUAGAGCCGGGUUAAGGACGCAGAAGGGGUUCAGCCCCAUCUUGCUGCAGUUUUCUAGAGUCUCCCCAAGCAAGGAUUUGGUCAUUUCAUUGAUGUCCUUCUCUUCAAGGCGUGUUGAAUUAAACCGCAGGGGAUCCUUGACAUCACCCGUAUAUGUGCACAUUAAACCGGGGCGGCGGCUUAAGGGAAUAAUCCUCCAGGCAACCCAGCAUCAGACCAAAUCAAUGCCAGUUAGGCCAUUGGCCAUCAAGGCCCUUAUCUUGCUAAAAGCGGGUCCGUAUUUGGCCCGUUCAGCAGAGCUUAUUCAAUCUGGAAGUGGGUGCAUUGGGCUAAGCCGGCAGCUACGGAAACCCGACAGAGGGUUCUCACCCACCAGAGAGGUGUCUUGGCAAUAGAACCAAGUAUGAUUCCAAUCUCUCUAGUGACUGAGAAGUGAGGUUAUAGGGAAGACAAUGUCUCUUCGCCUCUGGAUAGAAAUUCCGCCAAGUUCAAGGCUGGGCCCAUCUGUCAUUUUUGUUUGGCAGUUCAGAUAGUAAAAUUCCCUGAAAAGGUCAACGUUGGGCUCUUCUUGAAGGUAUACUUCACAAAAAACUUGAAAAUUGCAGAUGUUGGAGACUGAAUUGGGUCCGAUAUCUUGAGGGUGAAGCUGAUAGAAGUUCAGAACGUCACGGAAAAACUUUGAGCCAGGCAGCUCGAAGCAUGUGAUCAGAAAAAACUAUGACUUCUCCUUCCUUUGGUUGAGGAGGAACCUCGGUUACUGGAACCCACCAGCGGAUGGCGUCUUUAGAUGGUAGGACGCCCAUAUCAACAAACUCUUGGAGAGAUUUUUCCGCGACAGUGGAAACAACCCAGUCGCAGGAGGUGACGGUUUUAGUCAUUUUUAUCAGGUGAAAGCCUAAAAAGGAAAUUGCGACGGGUCAAAUUUGUGAUAAGCCGCCCAAUGGUUACAAGAAAGCAACUUUAUUAUGCAAAAUUGCUUAAUGUGCGAAGGCUAAUAUGAAAGAGGAGUAUAAGCCGGCGAGGUCCUGGCGGGUUAUAUUAACGUCGGAUAUAAUGAUAGCAGACUAACAGUUUAUAUGUAAGCCUGCUGGGUAGCGGCGAGUCAUGAAGGCAUUAUUGAGCCGCCUAUGCAACAGUACUGAGGCGUUUACGGAGCUGGAAUAAGGGGAGAAUUUUGCUAAGUACCGAGAAACAAGUUUUAGAGGAUGUGUAUAUAUUUCUGUAUCUAUAGCGGUACAGAAAAGAUGAAAUAUUGUUAGACCUAAAAACGUGGCGGCGGACGAACAUGUGGUCUGAGCUUGAAUCUGAAACAGGGGGAAUGCAUCUAUGAAUAAAGGCGGAUGUUACAAACUGGUAUCACGCAACUCCCAUACUAUUUGGGGAUUGAAUGAAGCAUAAAUGGAGCACUACGAUGAGCUUUGGUGGGCGACCGAGGAACACCGAUGAGCUAGGGUCUACUAAUGUGGAUCUAAGGCGAGGGGAGACGAAUACCUGAUCAAGCGGAGGAACAGCGGAGGGGCGAUGUGUUCUCUGGACAGAAUCACGUUGAUGCAGCAGCCAGGUCGGAGUCGUUGUGAAGGUCGGCGGCAGAGGAGUUCGGAGGCUUCGGGUGCGCGAGGAGGAAGAAGAAGAGGCAGCGGCAGGGGUAAAAAUGAAAAAAGAAAGCCCCCUGUCCCUAUUUACAAGGAAGUGAUAAGACGGCAUGUGCGGAAAUCGAGGAGGUAAAAUGAUUAUGUUAACCAUGCGGGCGCCUUGAUUUUCGGGAAGCCCAUUAAGAUAAAGAUCCGUUGAGAUAUCCUGGGUCUUGUGCGGAAUUAAUGCACAUGACGUCAUGGCGGGUUACAAUGAUCCCGUUCAUGUGACGUCAUGGCGAGUUAUAGCGGUCUGCGUAAAAUUUGGCACUGAUGCAUAGUCUGUUAAGUGAAGCAAUGAAGAUUGAUAUGAACAAGUUCAAAUCAACCUGGGACCUAAUGUUGGGAAUAUAGCUCCGAGGUGUGACCCGCCUAGGUGGGCCCGGGUUACACCGUUGGCGGUUUAAUAUGAAGAAGGUCCAAAGAGGCCCAAGGCGUGAAGACGGCGGCUCAUGGAAGCAGGCCUGGAGAAAGCCCAAGACCCGAGCCUAUGAACUAUCGUAUGAUGACUUGCCCAGUAAAUAAUUAUUAGUUAGAAACCGAGCCAGUCACGUUGUGUGAGCCGGCCGGGACUCUCUAAGCCUCCGGGUCUCGACCUGUGUAUAUAAAUGUGAGACCCGGCGGCGGGUUAACUAAAGAGACAAUCAGUUGAGAACUAGGUCAAGUGUAUACGGUCCCUUGUAAUCGAGACUCGAGCAAUACAACUAAAAGCAGGACGUAGGCUUUUACCUCAUUACAAGGGGCUGAACCUGGGUAAACUCCUUGUGUCCUUUGUCCCGUUCAACCCCUUCAAGCUAACCUAGUUGCGAUGGCUCCACACCUAAGUCCUUUCACUAGGGCAUCUGCCGUGUUAAAUCCACGACAACAACUGUGAUUUUCCUUUUUCGAAAAGCACAGUUGUGCUUUUCUCUUUUUGGGAAGCACUCGUGGAAGUGUCGUGCUUCUCGUGGAAGCAUAAAUUUUGCCUUUUUUCAGGGAAGCACAACUAUGCUUUCCCUUUUCAGGGAAGCACAAUUGUGCUUCUUGCGGAAGCGAGGAUGUGUUUUUCCUUUUUUGGGGAAGUACAACUAUGCUUUUCAUGAGUAAAUGAUUUUUUGUUAAAACCUUGGGAAAAUCAAGAAAAAGUUGAAAAGCCAAAAAAACUUGAAACGCGUGCUCGAAAAAAAGAAAUCUUGAUUGUGCGCCUAGCGCGUGACAUGUGGCAAUGGCUGGGCGCACCACUUGGUGAGCUCCCAGGGCCCAAAAAGUGACCUUCGUGGGAGCCAUCGAAGGCGUACCCGUUAACUAGUUGCUCUACCAUAUACGAGGUCUCAUGCCACCACGUGCAGGGGAAACAAGGGCCAAAUGCUUGCCGUGACCCCUCUCACCGGCCUCGCAGGCUUCGGUCAAGCCCGAGAGAAGCGGAGGGAAACAGAGUAGCAACCCACCCCAACAGGAAACACACUUUGUUGAUGAUGACAGUUUUGUCUUGAACCUUACAUUUACUUUAUGGGCAACUCGGUUGGUUAAAAGGAAAGAAAUUCAUGAAGGUAUCUUUCAAAGUGCACAACCAACAUACUUGGCAGGUUCAUUGCAGUGCUCCAGGUUCUAAAGGAGAAAAUGCCAGCGAUUACAAGUACUGGACCAACCGCAAAUGGUCUAGGAAGUGAGACUACAGGGUCCGGCCAAAGGCGCCUUCUACUGGGUAUGCAAAAGUCUAGGUGGGAGCAAGUGUGUCAAGAGCGACCAAGGGGAGGAUCAUGCUGCGGUCUGUCGGGACAAUAGUGGCAACCACCUUGGUAGCUAUUACCUUGUUACUUAUGUCGUCCAUGAUGUGAGUACAUUGGAGGCGAUCGUAAGUCAGGCCCUUUCACUAGUGGAAGAUCUUCUUCUCCACAGCUUCAUCAUUGCUUCCGUCUCAAAGCAGGUGGUGGGUAAUAUCAACAAGGGUAAUCAAGGUCGUUAUGGCUCUAUCAUUAGUGAGAUUACGCUGUGAGUAGCUAUGUUCGAUUGUAAAUUUACCUUUGAAGGGUAUAUGCCGCAAAUGGCAAUGCACAUAGUUUAGCCAAGUUUUCGCAUUCUCUGGGUCAGGGGCACCACAUUUGGCUUGCUCAACCCUAUGAUCUAAAUUGCAUCCCACAAACUAUGGCCUUUGAUCAACAAAACUUGGCUUUACCCCCUAAAAAGAUUGUUUCAUCUUGGGAGCUCCGUGGGUCUCGGUGGAAUGCAUUCGUUGUGCUGCUCUGUGGUAAUGCUACACAAACACAACAAAACCACAGAACAAAAAUCAUACGGAGUGUAUGAGAGAGACCCUGUCUAUCUUUCAGUGCAAGGCAUGAGGUACGCCAAAGCUUUCUACCCAAUAUCAUAAAGAUCAUGUUGCGCCUAAUUUCACUAUUGUAAACUCUACGUGUUGCUUUACACUACGAACAUAUGUAGAUGAUUUGUAAUAGUCUUUUUCCAAGGGGAUUAAUAUAGCCUAUUAUUAUAGAUUCAAUAUAUUAUUAAACGAUUGAGCAUAAGGCUUUUAUUUCCUCUCUCUCAAGGUGACUUGGGAAAGCCUUCCUUUCCUUGAUCUCUGUCGGCAAGCCCGUGGAUUCGCCUCCCCUCCACCUGCCGUUUUGGGGGCCGGUGGCGGGGAAGAGAAUCCCGAUGUCUCAACUCCCGCUAGUAGAUAUGUAGGGUUUUAGUCCUCGCAAGGGCGACGUUUGGACGGAUGGUAGCGCUCCUUCUUCGAGUCAGUCUUCCGGACUCCGAUCCUCCUCAAGUUCAUUCGUUGGGAAGGAUUAGACGGAGCCUCGGCGUAGAUUAGUGCUAGCUCCUUGGGGCGACGAGGUUAGGGUACUCUCUGUGCUUACGCAACGGUGAUAUUUGGUGUCAGGUUCUUUAGAUCGAUUCAAGAGUUCGAAGGCGACGACUGCGGCUCCAAGGUGCUGGUCCUUAGGGGCACGUGCACGAAGACUUCCCGGUUGUCAUCGAUGAGGUCAGGCCGGGUCCGGUAUGGGAGCGGCGCGUCGACGGCUUGUUCUGGUAGCAGCAAUGGUCGUUCGGUGGUCCAUAGAACUCGAUGUAAUUUUUAUUAUGUUUGAGGUGCUUUGUACUUCAGUGAAUCUUUAUAAUAGAUCUGAACCUUUUCGCAAAAAAAUAUAUGAACACAUACGAUUAUCGAAAAAAAUAUGAACGCGUAGUUGUUUAUGGCAUAACAAUAACAUAAUGUAUGAAUGAAGUAUGCUUAUGUCAAGAACCAAACAUCUAUGUAUGUUUUUUUCGAAAGGACUGCGUACCAUUUACGGUGAUAAACGAUAAAACAGUGAUUUACUAACAUUUUUCUCUGAUUGAAUGCAAAACGUUUAGGGCUCCUUUGAUUCAAAGAAACUUUUUGUACUAUAUUCAUAGGAACUUUAACAUCCACUCCAACCUCUUUUUUGUAAUUUCUUUGUUUUUUCUGUGCCAUCGAACACUCCUUACUAAUCAUAUAGGAUUCAAGUGAGCAUGCCACUCCAACCCUAUAUUUUUUCUAUUUCCACGUUUUUAAAAUCCUGCGAAUCAAAGAGGCCUUUAAUAAUGGGAGAAAUGUUUUCUUGGAGAGCAAGGCAAGGAGUAAAAGCAAAAUCGGCAUGCCUGUAGCGGCCGAGAUCACCGGCUGGCUCAUCCCUAUCCACCAACCACACGUACAGCCCACCACGAGCCCACCAGAUAUUUUCCUCCAAGCCCUCGAGAUAUUUUGGAAGCCUGCUACAUAAGGCCACAGCGCACCACAAAACCCUAGCCACCUCCGCCCCUCUCCUCUUAAACCCCAGCCCCCACUCCCCAUUCCCCAUUCCCCCUCCCCCGCCGUCACGUCCCAGCUCGCCCUCCAGAGGUACGUCCUGCCCCUCUUCCCUCUGAUCCAGCGGCGGCGGCGGAUUUGGCCUUGAUCCGUCGCCCCCUUCCGCUAGAUUGCUUGUUGGUUGUUGUUAUUAGUCUGAAAAAUGGAUCGAUUGGCGGAUAAACGGGUAGGGUUUCGCGCGGCUGUUGUCUGAUCUCUGAUUCGUGUGGGUUCUAGGUGUUAGAGAGGGGCUAUCGAGUUGGAUUUCGUUCGGUUUUGUUGGAUUAUUUCGGGGCCGUUGUCAUGGGAGUACGGGUUGCGAGUUUCGGAGGGGAACCGUUGUGUUCUUCGGAUUCAGGGCCUCUGUUGUCUUCAAAUCUCAGAAUCCGAGUCGUUAUUGUCAUGACAUAUGAUUCACUUCCGCGGCUUGACGCCCAGUUUACCGGGACCAAAGAGAGUUUUGUUGCACAGCACGACUCAAACAUAGGUACCCGGCAAGCACAUCUCACGAAUAUGUCACUUGGGGGCUUCCUGUUCAAACAUAGGUGUAUUCACCAAAGAGAACAUAGCGUUACUACCCUUUUGACUGGGUUAUCUUGUUCAAACAUAGGUGUAUUCGCCAAAGAUGACAUAACCCUUCUGGGUCAUCCUGCCUGUAUGCCAGCUGCUUCUUCAUCAGGUAAUCCUGAUUGGCCCGGCGAACUCUUAACAGUCAAUCUUUAAAACAAGACCAUGAACUCGUUAAGGUUAAAACGCCGGUGUGUCAUGUGAGGGCACGGCUUUACCGAUAGCGACUAAGCCGCCUUCAUUGAAACUUGGUUAAACCUGCCUGUUUGCUUGAUGCUACUCUGACCUCGUGUACUCUCGAUAAGUCAAAUCUGAACUUAUCCAGGUUAAAACAUCGAUUGGGUCAUGUGAGAGCCAGCUUACAGAAAGCGAGGAUACUCUAGUGGCUAUCAUGCUAGUUUCAUUGAAGUUUUAUGUUUAAAAGUUUGGUUUUGGCAAUUUAUGACAGCCUCAUUAUUUAUGAGUUUUUUCUUGGCUUUAUAUUACGCCUUUUUUCUUGCCGUAUGGUUUUCACAAAUCAGGCUGAACAGCCCUGUCUGUCUCAUAUUUGAGCAUCUUUGGGUUUUUUAUAACCCGCCAUGAUGGCAGACUAUAAGCCGCCAGUAUAUGACACUUGGAAGCAUUGUAUUCUAAGUCUUGGGAUAUUACCCAUUGCUGUAUAAGGCACUGCAAACCGGCAGUAUAUGACAAUUAAACAAGGCAUUAUGUGUUCAAUCUUUGGGUUGUCACCCUUACUGCACUGGUAUGAUAAGCCGGCAGUGUGAUCAAGUACCAGAGGUAUGGUAUUUUACUAACAAUUAUAUAAAGAUUGCGGUCCUACCGGCCCUGGUUAUGGACUAUUUGUCCCCAGUGGUUUAAUACAGGGUAUUGUGACCCACCCCGUGGUAAACCGCCAGGGCACUUGUGAUCUGUUUGUGUGCAGGGUAUUGCUAAAUCUGAUCUGCAUAAGUUGACACUAUCAUAAGCAUAAAGUGGUAGUUUUUUCAACUAGCGGAUCAACAGUUUGCGCAAAACGAAAUGUGCACGAUGGCAUGGCAGAUCAAAGUUUCACUAGCCUGUUACAUGACUCGGUGAGCCAAAAAGAUCAAGUGUUUUUCAGAAGAUCAAAUACUUAAACCGCCCAGCGGAUCAAUCUUCUUGGCCUUGACGACUUGAAGCUUCUAGAUCAUCCUUCUCCGGUUCUUCGUCCUCCUCCACCGUCUGGAAGUUUGGUGAUGACCAAUCAAUGCCACACAAGGCUUGGAAUUCAGCUUCGUCAUCUAUAAGAUCGGACGGGUCAAUUUCAGGGGCGAAAGUAUGCUUACGGAUUGGGGGAAUCAGAUCCAUCACUUUAUAAGCCGGCGUGGGCAUCUUCUGAUUUUCUGUAUCAUAAGUUGGCUGAUAUUUUGAUAGAUUUGUUUCAUCAACAAUCAGAGUCGCCAGAGGACGUAUUUCCUUCACACAGGUAGCGAAGUCCUUUUGGUCAAAUGAAGUGCCAUCUUCUUUCAAGCUCGGAUAUCUAGUAGCUACCUCGGCCGGGUCUAGCUCUCGUAACCAUGCCUUAGCCCGGCUCAAGGCCGUCACGGCACCGGCUCUUGUAGAGGACCGCUUUAUUUCUUCAAUCCUCGCAGGCAUAAUAGAAAGUUUCUUCAAGACAUCACUCAACAGAGUGGGGGCCUGAUUCAUUGGAGAAAUCGUGGCCAGCGUGUGCUGAGUUCCGGUAUAUAGCUUUUCAACAAGCGUAUAUACGGCUUUAAGCUUCACCAGCAUGUCUUGACCAAGGUUGCUGCUCCUGGGACCUGUGUAAUCAUUGCGGACUGAUUAGCGAUGGUUUAUGACAUGAAAGAUAAAACUCACUGUUGAGGCUGGCAAAGUUACUCACCAAAGAUAGCAGAAACCAUCUGGGAUAUACGGUGUUUUAAACCGGUAAGCUCAGUGGUCACCUCUUGAAGAGCAGCUUCUGCUUUUUCAGCCCGCUGCGUUAGAGCAUUUUUCUCUUCAGCCCAGGCGGUUCUUUCAGCAUCAAAGCUGGUCUUCAGUUUUUCCAUUUCAGCCACGCUAGAUUGGAAUUUUGAGUCGGCCUUCCGGGUCUCAGAUUCUUGAUCCUCCAGCCAGGUCUUUGCAUCAGCCAAUUGCGAUUGAAGUUGAGCCGUGGCGUCCUGUACAAGCACAGAUUUGCAACCACAUUCAUAUCCAGGUUACAGGAAUAUAAGUCCCAAGCCUUUUGCAAGCAACAACACUUGGCACUUGGGGGCUAAUGCGUACGGAAAAAUUCUUUGUGCAAUGGCAAAAAAUGAAUAAGUCCCAAGCACUUUGCAAGCAAGAGCACUUGGCACUUGGGGCCUAAUGCAUAUUACUCAUGUUUCAUUACUGCUUUAUGAUGACCCGGUUGUGCUGCAAACAACCACAACCGGCUCAUGGGGGCUACACAAGUAAGCUUUCAUUUAUAAACAAUGGUGAACAGUACCGGUUCAUUCAUGCUGAUUAACCCGGUCCUUGGGGGCUACGGAUGCAAUGUUAAUUGUUAAAGGCCCGGUUUAGUUCUGAAAGUGAAAGACGACCUUUGAAGGAUUCUAUCCAACAUGAUUCUUAUACUCAUGGUUAUUCUAAGUCCACCGCAUAUUCAAUCCUAUCAUACACAGUAGACUUGGGGGCUGGCAGGAUAUACAUAACUUAUUAAAGAGAGGAAUUCAUACCUCAUAUUUUUAUGCAUCUGCUUCACCAUAUCAAUUUCAAGGUCGCGGCUGGUGUGCACUUGGUUGAGGUAGCCAGAAAGUACUUCACUAGUACUCAACUGAGAAUAAUUGGCGACAUCAAAUCUCACUUUCCGUUUUUCAAUGAAUUCCUGUUUGGCGGAGUGCUUGGCCAAGACAGUGGGAUUUCCCGGUUCUUUAAAGCCGGUGCCAGUAAUCACAACAUCGUCGGCAUGUGUUUCUGACGGUUUAAUUGGGCUUGUUGAUUUAGUGGUCACAUGACUGAGGUCACUGGAGAGGUCAGGAACUUCUGGUGGAACAUCAUGGACAGGCUCGUCAGGUUGUAGCACGGAGGUGUCAGAUGCUGGAAUUUGCUGUUCCGGCUCAUGGACUUUAGGAUCUUCAGCCGGCUUGAUCACCUUUGACUUCUUGCUGGGCUUUUUUUCCACUUCAUGAGUCAUGAGAGGCCAGUACAAGUAUGAGAGCAUAAGGAUAUAGAGAAUAAUAAGUAAUUGUUGUUACCCAGGGGCAGUUUUGAAAGCCGGCAGUUGGGUCUAUGAUGAGUCGCCAGAAGAAGAGCGAGAAACUUUCUGAUAGUUUGAAUUAGAAGAAUUAAGUGGCUGGCAAAUGAGACCCGCCAAUGGAUAAAAAGAGUUUAAAUUUGGAAGGACCUCGUUUCGACGUUUUCGCGGAGCCGGAGUAUUCAAUAAGCCGGAGGAUAAUUCUUCACCUUCGCUGGUCCGAGUUUGUCGCCGGUUCUCGUGCUGCUCUUCCUUCAAAAGAAAGUGAGGAUCCAAAUGAGCUAAGGGGUGUGAAAAGCUUACUUUCCGGGUUACCCGUCGAAUUUUCUGUCUUGGCAAAGGCUCUGUGUCGGAGGAAAUAAUCAUUACCUCUUCUUCGACCGCUUGGCUGGCCCCCGUGUCAUCCUGAUGAUAAUCAGUGUCAAUAAGAUAGUUGAAAAAGGAGCCAAGGGAAUCAAGGGCUACCUCCGACUCAGAACUGUCGUCCAGCUCAAGCAACUCGGAAGCAGUCAAUUUCUUCUUAUUCUUUUUGGCGGCUCUCUUGACGGCUUUCGUUUUGGCCCUGGCCUUCUUGGCAGCUUCAUGGUCAUAUUCCUUGUUCCAAAAAUCGGAUUCAGCCAAUGAAAAUUGUCAAAGUUGAGUUAAUAGAACCUUUGAAUGAUAAGGUAAAAUAAGUGAUUUAGAGACUCACAUCUGGUGGCGGGUUAAGUUUGCAAAAAGGGUUCAACCCCACUUUGGUACAGCUUCCCAGGCUCUCGUUCAGAAGGGUCUUCGUCAUUUCAUUGACUGCAUUGUAACACCCACGAUUCGGCUAUAUCUCUCACGUGUCGAGGCACGACUUAGAGGCAUAACCGCAUUGUAGGUUUUGUCGCAAAAGGGUCAUCUUCACACAAUCCCAUGUAAUGAACAAGAAUGGGAUAAAGAGUUGGCUUACAAUCGCCACUUCACACAAUACAUAAAUAAAUUCAUACAUCAUUCAAGAUACACACAUAGACCGACUACGGUCAAAUCCAAAUAAAAAGAACAUAACCCCAAAUGCUAGAUCCCCGAUCGUCCCAAGGGCUCCACUACUGAUCAUCAGGAAACGAAAUGUAGUAACGAACAAGGUCCUCGUCGAAGCAUCACCUGCACUGGCAUCAACGGCACCUGCAACUGUUUUGGUAGAAUCUGUGAGUCACGAGGACUCAGCAAUCUCACACCCGCGAGAUCAAGACUAUUUAAGCUUAUGGGUAGGAUGGGGUAAUGAGGUGGAGCUGCAGCGAGCACUAAGCAAAUAUGGUGGCUAACAUACGCAAAUAAGAGCGAGAAGAGAAGCAACGCAACGGUCGUGAAGCUAGAAGUGAUCAAGAAGUGAUCCUGAAACUACUUACGCACAACCAUAACACAAAAUCGUGUUCACUUCCCGGACUUCAUCGAAAAGAGACCAUCACGGCUACACACGCGGUUGAUGUAUUUUAAUUAAGUCAAGUAUCAAGUUCUCUACAUCCGGAUAUUAACAAAUUCCCAUCUGCCACAUAACCGCGGGCACGACUCUUGAAAGUUUAUACCCUGCAGGGGUGUCCCAACUUAGCCCAUCACAAGCUCUCACGGUCAACGAAGGUUAUUCCUUCUCCCGGGAAGACCCGAUCAGUCUCGGAAUCCCGGUUACAAGACUUUUCGACAAUGGUAAAACAAGACCAGCAAAGCCACCCGAUGUGCCGACAAAUACCAAUAGGAGUCGCACGUAUCUCGUUCUCAGGGCACACCGGAUGGGCAAAACGUCGGGUUGGCAUAGACCCUGGUUGCCCAGGGGGCGCCGGACGUCGCCCGUUUUGGACCAGCACUCAGAGGAACACUGGUCCGGGGGGGGUUAAACUAAAGAUGACCCUUAAGUCUGCAGAACCCAAGGGAAAAAGGCUUAGGUGGCAAAUGUUAAAACCAAGGUUGGGCCUUGCUAGAGGAGUUUUAUUCAAAGCGAACUGUCAAGGGGGUCCCAUAAAUCCCCAACCGCAUAAGGAACGCAAAAUCAAGGAACAUAACACCGGUAUGACGGAAACUAGGGCGGCAAGAGUGGAACAAAACACCAGGCAUAAGGCCGAGCCUUCCACCCUUUACCAAGUAUAUAGAUGCAUUAAUCAAAUAAGAGAUAUUGUGAUAUCCCAAAAUCAUCAUUUUCCAACAUGGAACCAACUUCAACUUCACCUGCAACUAGCAACGCUAUAAGAAGGGCUGAGCAAAAGCGGUAACUUAGCCAAACAACGGUUUGCUAGGAAAGGAUGGUUAGAGGCUUGACAUGGCAAUAUGGUAGGCACGAUAAACAGGUGGUAGGUAGCGCGAACAUAGCGAUAGAGCGAACAACUAGCAAGCAAAGAUAGAAGUGAUAUCGAGGGUAUGGUCAUCUUGCCUGAGAUCCCGCAAGGAAGAAGAACGAGUCCAUGAAGAAGACAAACGGACGUAGUCAAACGGAUCCUCACAAUCGCAACGUAACCGAAACUAUCAAGGAGAAGCGCAACCGGAAAGAAGCAAACAACAUGGUAAACAACCAUCACAUAAGCAUGGCAUGAUGCACAAACAAGUAUGAUGCAUGUCCAGUUUAAUGAGUCAUGACAUGGCAAAGUGCACAAACAAAACUACAAGUUAAGUGGAGCUCAAUAUGCAACGAGAUGCAUAUCGACGAAACACCGCAUUCGAUUAUUUAGUUCUCUCUCGGUUAUGUAUCCAACAAUAUUAAAUGUUGAUAAACAUGGCAAGAUGUGAAGCAUAAAAAAACUAACUAUUUAGGCAAGUUUAAGUGAGGCCGGAACAACAAAUAACAAUUCCGGAAAAUCCUCAUGUCCAUAUUUUAGAUUUGCACUACAGAAAUCAGCUAUUUUGCCAUCUGCCACGGCGGACGGCAAAGGCAUGAACGGCGGACGGCAAAGGCCUUUGCCGUCAGCCGCGGACGGCAAAAGGCUCCGGCAAAGUAGGCUACGGUAAACACCUUCUUUGCCGUCUGCUUUUUGCAGCGGACGGCAAAGAGGCCUUUGCCGUCAGUGGCGGACGGCAAAGAAAAUGGAUGGCAAAUAGUGGGUGUUAGCCACGGUAGGUGCUAACGGAGGCUUUGCCGUCCGCCAAACUAAUGUUUUGCCGUCUGCCGACUAAUAACAGACGGCAAAAAUGUCCAUCUACACGUUUAUUACAAUCAAAGACAUCAAAGGAUUUUGUUUAUUAAAAUAUAGUGAACCAGCAGCCCAAGUGCACCACAGUAUCCAUCUACGCUUUGUUCCAACAAUCGACGACGAAUGAACAAAUUUCACAAUACCAAAUUAGUCUAUUUACACGGAAUAGAUUUGCAUCUGCUCCAUCUACACAAAAUUACUCUAUUUACAUGAACACCACAUUAUCCAUCUACACAAAGUCAGCACAAAAACCACAGUAUCCACCGCCACCAUGGACGCCCGAGGACCUACCGCUGCUCCUUGAGGCAGAAUAUGGUGCGGCGUCGAGGGAGGGUGACGGCGCCGGGGCCGACAGAGGCCUGGGGGGACGGGGAUGACAGAGGCCUGGGGGGACGGGGCCGAGGCCUGUGGGCGCGAUAGGCGACGGGGCGCGGAGGCCGCCGGUGGCGACAAGCGACGGGGCGCGGAGGUCACCCGGGCGAAAGGNNNNNNNNNNNNNNNNNNNNNNNNNNNNNNNNNNNNNNNNNNNNNNNNNNNNNNNNNNNNNNNNNNNNNNNNNNNNNNNNNNNNNNNNNNNNNNNNNNNNNNNNNNNNNNNNNNNNNNNNNNNNNNNNNNNNNNNNNNNNNNNNNNNNNNNNNNNNNNNNNNNNNNNNNNNNNNNNNNNNNNNNNNNNNNNNNNNNNNNNNNNNNNNNNNNNNNNNNNNNNNNNNNNNNNNNNNNNNNNNNNNNNNNNNNNNNNNNNNNNNNNNNNNNNNNNNNNNNNNNNNNNNNNNNNNNNNNNNNNNNNNNNNNNNNNNNNNNNNNNNNNNNNNNNNNNNNNNNNNNNNNNNNNNNNNNNNNNNNNNNNNNNNNNNNNNNNNNNNNNNNNNNNNNNNNNNNNNNNNNNNNNNNNNNNNNNNNNNNNNNNNNNNNGCCGGGCCAUGGCCGGCGGGCGCGAUGGCGGCCAGCGAGGCCGGGGACUGCCGGCGAGGUGGUGGCGAGCGCUUGCGGGGGAAGUGGAUCGAGAGCAGGGAGAGAGAUGAGAGAGAGAUGUGGUGGGGUGGGGGUGAGAAGUGGAUAAGGCAGACUGUGGGGUGGGGUGAGACGUGGGGCGCGUGGGUGUUCCCCUGGGGGCGCGUCGGUGGGGAUGCCAUGUCAUCGAUCCGCAUGAUCGAUCCAGGUGUUGUGCUUCUUCUUUGCCAUCCGCCCCGGCUUUGCCGUCUGCUAUUUGUUCUUUGCCGUCCGCUGGCAGACAGCAAAGAGCCAGCUGAUGGCAAACAGUCUCUUUGCCAUCUGCUGGCAGACGGCAAAGAAGUUGACCUAGCCACGCCGUGCCCCAUGGGGCCCACUAGGCUCUUUGCCGUCUGCCUUUUCCCUCUUUGUCGUCAGCCAGCAGACGGCAAAGAGCCAGCUGAUGGCAAACAGUCUCUUUGCCAUCUGCCAGCUCUUUGCUGUCCGCUUUCCCAAGGCAGACGGCAAAGAGCCUCUUUGCCAUCAGCUAGCAGACGGCAAAGAGCUGGCAGAUGGCAAAGUAGCAGAUUCCAGUAGUGUUGGUACUGUUCUGUCCUAAAGCAUAUUUUAGAGUUGUCAAACAUGCAAAGUAAUGCCAACAUGUUAACUAUGCAUUUUUCUACCCCAUUACAUAUAAAGUUUAUUUAAACCCGAGCUACGGUUAAUUAGUUAUGAAAUAAAUCAUUUUAACAUGGCAUUUAGCAAAUUAAAUGCAAGCAGCAUUUUAAACAUUUUAAACAAGGAUGCAAGCAACAUAUUAUGAAACUAGAUGAAAUUCUAAGCAUUUUACAUAUAUAACUCAUUUUAAACCGAUGCACGGUUGUGGAGUUAUUAAAUGCAUGAUCAUCAGGGUUUUUCUGCAAAACAGUAAAUCACUGGAUAAUGCUAAAUUCGCAGAACUGAAAAAAAAACAUCUACGGGCCGAAUCUGCACUUGGGCCAACAGUGGAAGGGGCGCAACGCUGGCUCACCAUGGGCUGAGGCCCAGGUCGGUGGAGAGGGCGCUGGCUGGGCCGGAUCUGGAGGCAACGACGCGGUCAACGGGCGCUGCGGGACUUGGCGCUGGUCGUCCUCCUCGCACACAGAAGCAGGGAAACAACGCGACGAAGAGGUCAGGCGCGCCGGCGCGAUGCAGAGGAGGCAGCGGCGGCGGGGCGCGAGGAGACCGGGCGGAGCUCAUCGUGGACGUCGAGAGGAAACGGAUCCGGCGGCGAGUUGAGGCCAGGGCCGCGGGGUCGAUGCGGAUGAGCGAGACGAGUGCUCCGGCUCGUUGCAGAGGAGGAAAACCGACAGGUUCAGGGGACAAUGCCUUGUAGGUGCGAGAGAGCGUCGAGGGGUUCCAGCAACGCGUGAAGGACGAGGUCGCCGGAGGGUGGCAAGGACGGGGCCUUAGGCGACGAUUUGGCGGCGGGGACGAGGUGCUCGGGGAGCCCCUCGGGCGCGAGAGGAGGCUGGCGUCCCGGCGCUCGCGGGCCCAAGGGCGCACGAAGGAGGACGACGAGGUGGCUGGUUGCAUCGGGAGGAUGGAUCUUGGGCGCGCUGAGGGAGAUGGACGUGGGUGAAGCUCCAAGGCCAUGGCCUUCCUGUGAACCAGAGAAGAGGAAGACAGUGCGGUCAGGGGAGAGAAGAACCAGGGGAAGGGAGAGAAAGGAAAAGAAAUGGGUGCGUGGCUCAUCUUGAAUGAAGCUCGUCGGCGGCGCAGAGACGAGGCGGGGUCAGGCACUGCUCGCUGCUCCACGGGGACGAGAAGGAGCUGCUGGUUGGCUCGGGGCUGAAAACGAGGGGAGGUGGUGGAUCGGGAGGGAUCCCGAUGGAGAGAGUGGCGGCUGGUGGAUGGGUAGGCGGGUGAGAUCCCGAGGAAGGAAGAGAGAAUGGACAGGGGUGGCGGCGUCUAGGAGGAAUUUUAGGGAGUUGGUCUAGGGUUUGUCCAAAUAGGCAUGUGGGUGAACUAUAUAUAGGGAAGGGGGGGGGGGAGUUUGGACCUUCCGAUCGAAAACUGACGGACGGGAAUAAAUAGGCUAGGGAGUCCAAUAAAGAAAACGGAGAUGUUUUAUAGAUGUUUGGGGAUGAUCUGAAUCCAACGGUCACGGCCGCCCGGAUCGAGUUUGGGGAAGUGGGACACGCACGCAAAGGGGGUUAGGCGGUCACGGUCAAGAGGGAAGCGAAAACCCGAGGGACUCGGAACCGUCAACGAAGGCAGGGGAACACGGCAACUACGAACGGAUGCAAGCUUUAUGAAAACAUGCAAAUGCAAUGCGCAUGAUGCUAUGAGAUGAGGUGCAACAAACAAAUAAAUAACACAGCUGACUCGCAAAACAAGGAAGGCAUUUGGAGCGUCGGUCUCGGGGCGUUACAUGCAUCAUCAGUGAGGCACACAGAGCUGUGGCGCAGAGGAUCUUUUGCACCACCCGUGUAAUCACACAUUAAGCCGGAUCGACGGCUCAAGGGUAUGAUUCGCCAAGAAAUCCAGCACCGAACCAAGUCAACACCAGUUAACCCAUUUCCCAGCAGGGCCUUGACCUUUGCAAUAGCGGGGGCAAGCUUUGCACGUUCAGCAGUGGUGAGCUUUUCAGGAAGAUGAUGCUUUGGGUCGAGCCGCUGGACGCGAUAACCCGACAGAGGAUUCUCGUCAGCCGGAGAAGUAUCUUUGCAAUAGAACCAUGUUUGGUUCCAAUCUUUUGGGUGACUUGGCAGGCGAGCGUAGGGGAAGAUAGCAUCUCUUCUCCGUUGAAUUGAGACCCCACCAAGUUCUAAGCUAGGUCCGUUGGUAAAUUCAUUCUGUCGGUUCAGAUAAAAGUAUUCCCUGAAGAGUUCAACACUGGGCUCCUCUUGAAGGUAUACCUCACAGAAGACUUGAAAAUUACAGAUGUUUGACACGGAGUUGGGUCCGAUGUCUUGAGGAUGCAAUUGAAAGAAGUGCAGAACGUCUCAGAAGAAUUUAGAUCCAGGUGGUGAGAAGCCCCGGUUCAUAUGAUCAGUAAAAACAAUGACCUCAUCAUCCUUUGGGUGAGGUCUUUCUUCGUUUGGUUUGGGAGCGCGCCAAUGCAGGAUGCAUUUGGCCAGUAAAAGCCGAUUUUGACAAAGUCCUUGAGCGUAUUUUCGGUGACAAUAGAAGGGACCCAAUUGCAUGAAGUGACUGUCUUCGGCAUUGUGAAGGAAGGAGCCUAAAAAAGGAAAAAAAUCGGUUUAAAUUGAUUCAUUAAGCCGGAGGUAAAUGUUACAGUAUAUAUAUUCAGAUUGGCGGCUUAAACGGGGCCUAAUGACAUAUGGAUAGUUAAGCAAACAGGUUUCACAGAUUGAUGCUAAGAUUUCGGAUCUGCGACACUUCAGAUAAUGGAAAAUAUUUUUGACCUAAAUUACGGUGCUCGAGCAGUUCAUAUGUUCAGAUUGAUUUUUUCUUACGCAAAGGAGAUGGUUUAAUAACAAAGACAAGUAUCACGGCUGCCGCCGUGCAGGAGAAGUGCUAAGUUUGAAUCAAAAUUACAAGCUACAGUGAAGAACAAGGAAGAACCCCGACGAACUUGUAGGAAACCCUAAUGAGAUCUAGAGGAAAGGGAAGGAGGAAAACUUCAUUACCUGAGCUGUUAAGCGGCGGAGGCGUGGGACCAAGCUCUGGACAGAUCAGGUUGAUGCAGCGGCCGUUGUCGAUGCAGUAGCUGAGGUCGAGGACGGCGGCGAAGCUCGAGCGCUGGAGCGAUGUGAGGAAGAAGAAAGAGAUGAAGAGGCAAGGGGGAAAAAGGGACCCCUGGCCCUAUUUAUAAGGCUGGAAGGAUAAGUGGCAUGCACGGGAAUCGAGGAGGCCAAAAAAUGGAUACGUGACGACGGAAACGCCUCGAUUUUCGGGAUGGUUAUUUAAAAAAGGAUCUGUUAAGAUAUGCUGGGUUUUGUGCAAAUUAAUGACAGAUGACGUCAUGGCGGGUUUCCGUAAUUCCAGGAGAUGAUGUCAUGGCGGGUUACAAUAUCUCAUGAGAACAAACAGAGAAGGAUUUUUUCUAAGUGUUGAAGGUUGACAUGAACAAGUUCAAAUCAACCUGGGGCCUAAUGUUGGGGAUAUGACUAUUGGGUAUGACCCGCCCAGGAGGGGCCGGGUUAUCCAAAUGGCGGUUCAUCAAGACGAAGCCCAUGAAGAUGUUAAGAUGGCGGUUCAUGAAGCAGACCUUUUAAGGGUCCGAAGCCCAAAGGCGGCUUAAAGCCCAUAAGUGUAAACCGCCAUAUAUGCAUAACUUGUAUUGUAAGGCAAGAGUAAUUAGUCACCAGGCCGGACACGUUGUUUAUGACCCGGCCGGGACUCUGUAAGCUGCUGGGCAUCAACCUAUGUAUAUAAAGGGACGACCCGGCGGCGACUUAGGGCAAGAGAGAAGAGAUCUAAAGCUAGGUCAAGCGUAAAUCGCUCCCUGGUAAUCGAAACAUCAGCAAUACCACUUCAAACUGGAUUAGGCCUUUACCUUCACCGCAAGGGGCCGAACCAGUAUAAACUCCUCGUGUCCUUUGUCCCGUUUAACCCCUUUAAGAUAACCUCGUUGCGAUGGCUCCACGACUAAGUCCUCACACUAGGACAUCUGCCGUGAUAAUUCCACGACAGGACCCCCUACCCGAGAUUCACCGAAAUCGACUCCGUCACAUAGUCUAGCCAAAUGUUCACAUUCUUUAAGUCAGGGGCGCCACAUUUGGCUUGCCCAACCCCAUGAUCCAAUUUGUAUCGCACAACUAUGGCCUUGAUAAACAAAACUUGGCUUUACCCCUAAAAAAAGCUAGUUUUGCGUCGAGAGUAUGUGGGUCCUGGCGCAAUACAUUCGUCGUGCUGCUCCAUGGUAAUGGUACACGAACACGAACCACAAAACAAAUCGUACGGAAGUGUAUGAGAGAAAUCACGUCUUUCAGUGCAAGGGAUGAGGUACACGAAAGCUUUCUACCAAAUAAGAUAAAGAUCAUGUUGCGCCUAAUUUCUCUAUAGUAAACCCUACGUGUUGCUUUACGCUAUGAACAUAUGUAAUAGAUGAUUUGUAAUNNNNNNNNNNNNNNNNNNNNNNNNNNNNNNNNNNNNNNNNNNNNNNNNNNNNNNNNNNNNNNNNNNNNNNNNNNNNNNNNNNNNNNNNNNNNNNNNNNNNNNNNNNNNNNNNNNNNNNUCUAGAUUGAGUAUCUUACUAGUUAAUGUAUGAACACAUACGAUUAUCAGAAAAAAUGUACGAACAUGCAGUUGUUUGUGGCAUAACAAUAACAAUAAUGUAUGAAUGAAGCAUGCUUAUAUCAGGAACGAAACAUCUAUAUAUGUUUUUUUUUCCAAAAGGAUUGUGCAACAUUUUUAUGUGCGAUAAACCGAUACAGCAGUGCUGCAACAUUUUCCUCUGAUUUAUCUCCCAGAUUAUCCCAGCGAGUGAAUGCAAAACGCUUAAUGGGACAAAUGUUUUCUUGGAGAGCAGGGCAAGGAUUAUAAAGGCAAAAUCAGCAUGCCCGUAGCGACCGAGAUCAGCGGCUGGCUCAUUCCUAUCCACCAACCACCGUCCAGCCCACCACGAGCCCACCAGAUAUUUUCCUCCAAGCCCUCGAGAUAUUUUGGAAGCCUGCUACAUAAGGCCGCAGCGCACCACAAAACCCUAGCCUCCGCCCCUCCCCUCUUAAACCCCAGCCCCCACUCCCCAUUCCCCAUUCCCCCCUCCCCCGCCGUCUCGUCCCAGCUCGCCCUCCAGAGGUACGCCCUGACCCUCUUCCCCCUUAUCUCGCGGCGGCGGCGGCGGAUCUGGCCUUGAUCCGUCGCCCCCUUCCGCUAGAUUGCUUGUUGGUUGUUGUUAUUAGUCUGAAAAAUGGAUCGAUUGGCGGAGAAACGGGUAGGGUUUCGCGCGGCUGUUGUCUGAUCUCUAAUUCGUGAGGGUUUAGGUGUUAGAGAGGGGCUCUCGAGUUGGAUCUCGUUCGGUUUUGUUCGAUUAUUUCGGGGCCGCCGUCAUGGAAGUAAGGGUUGCGAGUUUCGGAGGGGAACCGUGGUGUUCUUGGGAUCUCGGCCUGAAUUAGGCGGGAUGGUCUGAUCUGUUGGAUUAGUCUAUUAUAGCAGGAGUAUAUCGUGUUUCUAGGGAGUUUGCACCAGUAAAAGUUCUUUUUUGUUUACAAAUUUGUGCCUUUUUCCUCCGGUUGAUGUGUCUAACCCUGUUUGCCCCUUUCGCUGAUGAUUUAUUUUGUCGGUGCAGGUUUUAGUCUUCCUCCAUGGCGGCCCUCAUCAAGCUCGGAAGCCUUCUUAGGCAGAGUGCUGUGGCUAGCAGUGCCUCCACCGGCUCGGCUCCUGCCCUGUUCAACGCUGCCCGCUUCAUGUGCGCCGGCCAGCCUGCUGAUGGCUCCAAGCUUUUCGUCGGUGGUGAGUUUUCUUGCCUUACUUUUCUUGUACUGUAUGUCCAUUACCUUGUCUAGACCAUCAGGUUUCAGUUUUAUUUAUCAGGUCUCGCCUGGGCUACUGAUGAUCAUUCGCUGAAGGAGGCGUUUCAAUGCUUUGGUGAGGUCGUUGAAGGUCAGUGUAUAUCUUUCAAGCCUUAUCAAAUUUGCCAAAAGUCAUUUUAUCUGUUAUGUACACACGGUGUCGGCUGUUUGUUCCGGUAUGUGGUAGUUAUUGUUUGAAGAUCUGAAUGCUUAGCUAUACAUGGAAAUUUGCUUGACUGUGCUUUUAUUCUGAUGCUCUUUAGCUUACCUUGUACGGUGUAUUAAUUAUUACGGCUUCAUAAUCCUUGUCUUUCAUGUUACAGCUCGUGUUAUCACUGACAGAGAGACUGGAAGGUCUAGAGGGUUUGGUUUUGUGAGCUUCGCCAGCGGCGAGGAUGCAAAGAGUGCUGCAGAAAACAUGGACGGCAAGGUGAGUCAAACCAGAGUACCAGACAUGUGUGCUGUUGUACUUUAAUAUGGAGUUAAACUUCUGCCAUUUAGAUGCUUAUCAGGGUUUGAUAAUUUUCACCAUGUACUAAUACACCUUGUUAAUUAUUAUUUCAAAGUUUUGUGCCUGCCUUUAGCCAAAUUGCCUAGGCCUGAUACUGAUGCCAUGCUUCACUGGCCACUACUUUUAAGGAUCUAAUGUCCAUCCAAUGCUUUGCAGGAGCUUGCGGGGAGGAACGUCCGUGUGAACUUCGCCAACGAGCGACCUUCGGGUGGUGGCGGCGGCGGCGGCUUCUCUCGUGGCGGCGGUGGCUAUGGAGGUGGUGGCGGCGGCUAUGGUGGCGGUGGCUUUGGUGGUGGCGGCGGAUACGGUGGUGGCCGUGGUGGUGGUGGCGGCGGCUAUGGUGGUGACCGUGAGUCCUACUAAGAAGAGCACUGGCUAUCAAAUUUAAAAUAAUGAGUUUUUAGGACAGUGUCUUGAUUAUGUGGAACCUAAUGUUACGUCUGUCUGUUAUCUGCGAUAGUUGAACUCAAUAGGGGCAGAGAUGUGGUUCUAUGUUAUUUUUGGUUUUGCUUUUUUCUUGAUGAUGCAAGAGUUAAUUUGUGUAUGCUGCUUCGAGGCUUGGAUGAGUCUCAAGGAAGUUUCAUGCAUUUUGCCGUAUGUUGCGCUGUGUACUUGUAGAGAAUGAUUGCGUAUGUUAGUGUGAUCAUAAAUUCUCUUCGCAUUACAUUCAAAUAUUAAGAUCUUAGCUAUAAAUUUGGUAAUGGUACCAGACUACGAGUGGCGUAUUUUCUGUGUUGUAUGCUGCCAAAUAAUAACCACAAGCAGAUAGUCUUACCAGCUACCAAUGGAGAAUUAAUGAAGACUCACUAUAUAUGCGUCGAAUCUAUAUUUGAGUGGCCAUCCCACCUUGUCCCUUAAAUGUCCAUUUUUAAGUCUGUGACACUAAAAAUAUAUAUUAUAAAACGGCAUAAUUUAGAUAUUUCAAAUGCAAAUAUUACAACAGAGAUUUUCAAUAGGUUUGUUGAAUCCACAGCUUCUAAAUUCAACGAGUUAGAAUCACAUCUCACGCAUUAUGUGCCCCUUGCUCCAUCCAACUCCAUUGCGCCCCUUGAGCUCCAUCCAAAGGUACAAGCGUAAAUCACAGGUUCAUCGGCAGCGCGUCCUAUACAAUUUGAUGAUUGUCAAGUUGUAACAUUGAGUGAAUCAACGAAUUGACUGGCAUGUAGAGCAACAAAAUGCACAACUUAUGAUCUUCAUGGUUGACGAGCCUGAUGGUGACAUUGUCUUCACUCGUGCAAUUGCAUCACAAAACUUCAUGACUGAGUCAAAGAUGGUGUACCACCGAUGAUUCACGUGCAAGUUGUAGGGUGUGAUUUUUUUCCUCAUGAAACAAAGCAUGCAUGUUUUGCCAAAAGGUCAAGUCCCCUUCCCUUACGCCUACAAAGCCCGUAGAUACGAGGUUCCACGCACGCAAACAACUCAUCCUUCCCGAGUAUCCCAGCGUCAUUUUACUUUUGAAACAACACGAAAGUCAACAAAAAAGCUCAAUGACAUUUGACCAAACACCUGUCGGGUGUGGUGUAUGUCAUGAACGACGUCAGUAGAGGGACGAAGGGUACCUAUCCGCGGACUGAUUUUGGGUGGACAGCGGCAUAGUCCAGGCGGGUAGGCGUGUAGGUGGGGGCUGCAAACGUCCGAGAAUGCCUGGUCAGAGGCCAGGGAGGUACAUAUGCGUCGGCAGAUGAGGAGGGUGCAUAUGCGAAGUAAGGGAACUCAUGAACGGAGUGGAAGAACAAUGGGACGGGGAAGAGAUUUGAGUGGGUCAAGGAUGUCAGAGUCCUACGUGACGGCGGUCCAGAUGGGUACCGUGUUGGAUGGCAAAUUGCAACCGAACAGCUCGAUCUGAACAGUUGUAUGUGUUUUGAGGGCCCGCUUUAAAGAUGCAUUAAACACUGAUAUAUGUUACUUAAAAGAAAUUCAGGUGGACAUUAUAAAGUUGAAGCCAAAAAAAAGACUGACAAAAGCCAGAAUCAAACAUCUGAGGCCAUCUGCGUCACUCGCGAACUGAUGGCGAAAAUUUCGAAUUCAUCUGGAUUUUCUGUGAUUUUAGAGCGAGGCCCCAAAGAGUGCGACAGACAGAGUAGCGCACGCGCGUGCUCUGACGUUCUGACGAAGCUGUAGUGUAAACCCUACCUAUACUCAGCAGUAGCGCGGACGUCGCAGACAGAGAGGAGGCUCGAGAAACAGAGCAGACGCCAUGGAUCCGCCGCACCCUCCGCACCACCACCGGCUCCACCUCCGCCUCGACCCCGGCCACCACCACCGCAUCCACGUCCACCUCCGCCACCACGCCGCCCACCUCCUCCCCGCCGCCGCUCCCUGUGCCCAUCACCACCACCACCACACAUCGGUUCCUCUUCCUCGUCCCCACCCGCUUCCCCACCCACCGGCCGCGGCGGAAGGACCACUCCCCGGGCCGCAGGGAGAGGCGGCGAGGGACGCGGAGGAGCCGGCGCCGCAGGCGGAGCGAGGAGAGGAAGUUUACCUCGGGCAGGAAGGGUGGGCAGAGGAGGAGGAGGAGGAACCGGUGUUCGUCCUGACGGAGGAGUGGGCCGAGUUCUUCGCCAAGGCCGACGCCAAGAGGAGGCUGGGUAAGCCGCCUUGCUCUCUCCCUCGCUAAUUUCUCCCCAAUCCGUCAUGCUUGUUCGAUAACUUUUGUGUCUUCUGCAACUCUGUUGGUUCUGCAGCCAAGCAGCAGAGGAAGAACCGGAAGAAAUAGGAGCGCCGCGGCUCAAGCGACGAUGGAGUUGGAGAUGCAGACCGGACAGGGGCCCGGCUUACCAGAACUUUUGAUGCUUCGGAUUUUGUUUUACGAGGGAAGGCAUUUUGCGAGAGGAGAUGACAUUAUUCAAAAUACUUCUGGCUCUUGAUCAGCUCAGCGGGCAGUAUUCGCAGCAUACCUGAUGCUCCGCGUUGAGAAAUUCUGUUUCGAGAGGGAGUUUGGUUUUUGCCUUUUAAGAAUACGCCAAAACGGAAUUUUAUAUCCGAAUAGUAAUAAUCAUAAAGGAAAACAGUGUUUUUGCGUGUAAUAACUCUAGUUUGGCAGCAAAGUUUUUUCUAAACUGUGGUAAUUGAAAACCACAGUAUUACUCUGGGUAGGCAAAGAAUACUACGGUUUUCUAAAACCAAUGUUUUUCUCAGUUUUACAUGUGUUUGGUUGCUGCUGUUUAACCAAAGUUUUGACUAAGUAUUUUAGCGUGGGUGACUGAGUAAUUAGCGCUGCUAACGGCUGCCGGCUGCAUGCAGCUGUCAUGCACACAUAAUACCAUCCUAGGAUCAGUCAGCUAGAUUGAAGAAAUGCCAUCCUAGGAGUAGUCAACUAGAUUGAAGUAAUACAAUCCUAGGAGCGUGUUGCCAUUAUAUGUCUAUAUACGUUCAUGUACUUCGAGCCGGUCCUAAAUUCUUUGUGCGCGUACAUGCGUCAUUUAUACUGAAUCGGCUAGCUAGCUACUCCCUCCGUUCCGAAAUAUUUGUUUUUCUAGUCAUUUCAAAUGGACUACCACAUACUGAUGUAUGUAGACAUAUUUUAAAGUGUAGAUUCACUUAUUUUGCUCUGUAUGUAGUCAUUUGUUGAAAUAUCUAUAAAGACAAAUAUUUAGGAACGGAGGGAGUAGUAUAUAUAACCUGCUGCUUAUGAGUGUUCUCCAAAAGGAUCAAUCAAUCUAAUCUGUGCGCUACUCGCCGGAAAUACAUAGGCAGCCAAGGACUCGAGAAAUAGCUUGCUGCGAACAGAGUGUUCUCCCUUGUGGUGAGCUUGAUUCAGUCAUGGCACUGCAGAGAAGAGAUGGAGACUCGCACGCGACACGCCAGCUAGAAGAUAAACUAAUCAAACUGAAUCGGCUAUAACCAGGAGAUAUAAUAUGGUCGUUUACCAUAUAAGAGAAAGAGGGAAAAUAUGAUGGGAUCGCUCUGAAUAUUCUUAUUUCGACGUAGACGGCAACGUCAAGUGCGAUCUCCCAGAAGAUUUCUUUCCGUUCUGUUUAAAAAAAAAGGAUCAGGACCUCUUUUCCGAAUACUGCAAAAAGACCAUGGUUUCUAGCAUAAUGUGGUUUACAAAACUUUGGUUUUUUCUGAAACCAAACGCAGCAAAGUAUUCAAAACCAUGGUAUUUUUCAGAAACCAUGGUAUUCUCAGAAAACUUAAAAAACUUUGCUGCCAAACGCAGCCCAGUUUGUUUUCUGGUUUACCGCGUUGCGAUUAUUCAAGCAGGCACGCUGUUAGUAGAAAACAAGUUCUCUCUCGUCCAUGGACAGGUACUGCGCCUCACCAUCGACCCCGCAACAAACGAACUAAACGGUUGGGGAAUUGGGGUUUGCAAGACGCCUUUCAAAAUUUGGCAGCACACUUGACGAUUACCAAAAUCUUUUUUUUUUGCGUGUUGAAUUACCCAAAUCUUGUAACGCAAACUGGCACCUUUCUGAAUUGCUCAAGUAGAUGAAAUCACACAGGCACUAGGGUCAGAGCCAGGAUUUAGACACAGGGGGCGAGACGACCCUGAAGCCAGAAAUACUUUGUGCCUCACAAUUUAGUGAAAACAAGAAUUAUAUCUAGAUAUCGCCCACAUUUGUCUUUGCCUGGACACACACAUAAUAUUUGCAGUCGGGGCGUGUCUAGCUAUAGCUAAUACUGCUGAACAAUUUGCACAUAUGUUGCCGCAGAUGAAAUUGAUAAUCAAACCAUUCCAAAAUAUGAGAUGAAGUACUUUGCUACAAAACAUUCUCCUCAUCGUUUUCUGCCACUGUAGGAUGAACACAUCUCCUCAUGCUUGUUUACAGCAAAUUCGUCUAGGAUAAUAUGGCCCACAGUUUUGUUGCUCGUCAUUCUACGUUACAAUGUUAUAACAGCUUGUAUAAUCAAUCGACCAUAUGGCCCAGAUGCCUGUUCCUUGCACAAUGACAUUUUUCAUAACAGUGCAUCUGGACAGCGACACUGUGUAGCAUCGAUGAAGUACAGCUGAAGGACACAUCUGAAGGAUUGAGACAUCCACGCUGAAUGUUUCAAAUAUGUCCAGAUAGAUCUUCCUGCUACAACAAAGCACUCUUGUUCGCAGGUGAUCAUGCACAUCCUCGAGGUGAAACCAUGUCAUGUGGCAGUGAUCAAAAGUCCUGCAAGAACCUAUUUCCGAUGCUUUCUUCUUGCUUCAGUUCUUGGCCUCUUUUCCUCUUCCCGUUCUCUAUCAUGCGUUCUGCAGUUUAAAGGUUUGUUAGAGAAACAAAACUUAUAUUUAAAAAAGGUUUAUACCAAAAAACGCGGCUCAAGCAGAUGCUUCAUUACAGAACUGGAAAGGAAAAACCAUCCUAGUAAUCAUCUUUCUACAGAUUUAUUUAUAUAUACCUCUGCUACAUAUUUAAGGUAACUAGGUAAGACAUUAAGCUUACUCAUAACAAUGUGAUUACUCUCUUUUCUAUAUGUAACUCAGAAAUUCAUUAAAAUCUCAAGCUCGUAUUAAAGCCAAAACAAGGAUUAACACAAUUUUAAAUACAUAAAUCAGAAUUCAUGCAGAAUCAGGCCGUUAAAAUAUGCUUCAAGACAACAAAGUGAUGCAAGAAUAUGUUGCAUUUUACAUGUGUAAGCUUUCAGUGCUCACUUCCUUUAGGACACUCUUGCACACAAGGGGAAAAAAGAGAGUAAUACCAAUUUUGCAUACACAUUGAUCUUGGUUUUUGCUAGCUAGGAUUUAACAGUAUCACCCAUGACAACUAAAUAGGUGAUAAAUACCAUAAUUCUCAACACAUUACUCCGCUGAACUGUUUGUGUCAUGUAGCUAUUUGUAUGGUCUAAUAAAAUGACAGUUUUUAGUUGCAUGUUUCUCUAUAAUUCAUUAUUGCACACGAGUAUUUAUACUUUUCAAUUGUUGAACCACCUUCGAGGCAGCUUUCGCAAUAUUGCUAGCUUAAGUGGUUAGUUGCCAGCCACACCAUACCUUAAGUGCAUGACACCAUCUCCGUCCCAAAAUAAGUGACUUAACUUUGUACUAACUUUAGUACAAAGUUAGUGUAAAGUUGAGUCACUUAUUUUGGGACGGAGGGAGUACAAUUUAGGAAGGUGAAAUGGUGGAUUUUCAACAUUCUCUACCUGCAUAACGACUAGUAACCUGGAAAUACAAUCAUUAUUUUAUUUGACUAAAUAUUUCUUCAAUUUAGGAAGAGGCGGGUCAGGUGCAUGCUAAAAGAGGUCAAGGAAAAAAAUGGGCUACAAUUUGCACGAGAUAUUGAUCGUUCCCAUAAAACAGACCGUGUGUUUCACAUGACAGCUAAGGUAUAAAGAACACAGCAAAGUGAAAAAUGUUAUAAACUGUAGGAAAGCGUGCAUGCUUAGUUCAAUGAGAUCCUCAUUUCCAAACUUACUGGUCAGUCUCUCUACGACUUGUCUUGCUUAUUGAAUCCUUGGCAUGCAUCCUAGGGAGGUCAUCAGCAUGUGACGGCCGAUGCUGUGAAAUAACACCCUUUCUUUCUCUCUCUCGUAUUUCAAAUUGCGAGUUACCAGCUCCAAGGCUCGGAGGCUGUGGAGCAGAAGGUGCAUAUUCCCCAGCUUCUAAAGCAGACUGAUCUCUCUUAAUUUUUCGCCGUUUGGAUGCACUAUUAGGGUCACUAUCUUCCUUCAUAGUAUUACCUUUGUCCCUAUCCAUGUCAUCUACCUAUAAAAAUAACAUAGCAUUAGAGAUCAAGCAAAAAUGUUCGGUUACACAAUGCAAGAUCCCAAGAGGAGUGAUUGCAUGCCAAGUCUGAGCACGAGACACAAAUGACUUUUAUCGAUAUAGCUUAACUAGUGAGCAAAAAUUGAUCAAAAUCAGAGAAGAGUAUCAGAGAGUGAAGACAUAUAUAGAUAUAACUGAACUAGUGAGCAAAACUUGAUCACAAAUCACAGAAGAGUAUUAGGGACUGAAGACAUAUAUCGAUAUAACUGAACUAGUGAGCAAAAAUUGAUCACAAAUCACAGAAGAGUAUUAGGGAGUGAAGGCAUAUUUACCCUGCUUGAUGAAACAUCCCUAUCUUCACGCUUUCUAUCCCGGAGAUCUUCCUCUCUUCUGUGCUUCCCAUCAUCCUGCGACAGCGGAACAUUCUCCUCCACGUGCCACCUUUCUUUCUCAUCAUGCCUGGGAGACAACCGCUGAGUAUGUCUGGUGCUUCCACCCCUUCGGUCACCAUCUUCAUCUCUUCGGUUAGCAGCGACUGAUUGGGGUACAAAACUAGUUGGAAGAGGUGGAGGUGGUGGCAAGCUUUGCCCUCGGAACCGUUCAUCAGAAGUAUGUGCCCGGUCUAUGGAGGGCUCAGCAUGCUUAAUUUUGCCUCUCUCCUUAUUCCUGUCUUCUCUUCCUUUUUCAGGAACCCUGUCCGUCCCUCUGUCUUGCAUCCUUUCAAUAGAAUGUUCUCUCCUUUCCAAUGAUCUGUCUGUUGGUCUCUCAACCACGUCUUCUCCACGUCGCCUCUCAGUCCGAUCUGUUUUUUCUCUAUGGUCUCUGUCGUAUUUCUCAUCAAACUUCUCUUUUAAUUUCUCUGUCCGAAUUAUGUUUUGUUCCUCAUUAUUACCUCUCUCAUGAUCCACAGAAUGGAAUUUAUCUACUGAUCGCAGGUCCAUUCUUUUCUCUUUGUCUGUAUGUUCUGUUAAGUCAUCAUCCCGGCCUUCAAUUUCUCCUUUUCUUCGUUUACCUGUUCUCUCUUGUUCUUCAACGGGAACAGAUUUUUUUUGCCGUUUCACGGUAGAAUCAACCAACUCAAUAGAUUCACCUUCACCGGUGGGAUUAGCUGUUGCAUCAUUAUGUGCAGCCAACACCGUUGACCUUUGGGAGGAUGCUGAUACCUUCCGUGGUGCUGGAUGUACAUUACCGUUGGUGCCACCCAACGAACUAGUGGGAUUAGUAUCCAGCCCACCAUCAGCUGGCUGAGACAAUACUUCUCUGUCAGCAGGAAUAGUAGAGACUUCUUGAUUAAGAACCCUGCUGGUAAUUUUCCCAGGUUUUGCAUCUUCCUUCACCAAAUCAUGCUUAGAUACCUUUGCAGCAUUGUGUGCAUCACGCUUUUGUGGUGCUCUUGUCUGUUGUCAUAAAAACUAUUAGAAACAAUGCAAAGUUGCAAACUAUCCAGCACAAAAUUGCUCAUUGGUCACUGCUAUGCUCCAUGAGACAACGAAGGACUAUAAAUUGAAGACGUGCUAUCAAGAAACACCUGAAUCCGUUGUUUUGAAAGAAAGAAAGAAAGAAGAAAAAAAAGAGGCGGUUCACAAUUUAAAAAAAUCCUAAAAGUUUACAUGUGGAAAUACUUUUAUCUACUUGCAAAUAUUUGUGAAGUGCAUUUAUUUGUCGUCUGGAGAAAAAGACAAGGAUGAAGGACUAAAAUAGACAUUAUUUUUGAACCAAAAUGCUAAUUUUUGCACAAAGAUGUAUAGAUGCACAUACUAUUGCCAUAUGCACCCUUUUAAGAAAAAAGAUUAAUUCAAAAAACUGUUGUCACUCUCCACAUGAUAAACUGAGAGGUACCUCAGAUUCUGCAGCAGGCUUCAAAACUUUAACUCCCUCAUCAGACAAAAGUUUUGGAGGUUCAUCUGCACCACGUGCAGGUCCUGAAACUUUUCCUUGUGCAGAGGACGAUUGCAUUUGACUAUCAGAUCCAUUUGCAGUCGAGGCAUUCUUCUUAUUAUAUAGAGCAUCAGGCUUCAUUGCAUUUUCUGACCUUUCAUGCCUACCUUCUGUAGAUUUUGCACGAAGGCUGCGAUCUUUUGCCGUUGAGGGAUCUGCAGACUGAUUUCCUGUACGAGAUCCAAGGAACAGUUACGCUCCAGCUAAUCAUAGUGGUCCGACAAAAAAUAAAGCCUUCUGCAUCUUCCAUUUACCAGGAAUAGGUUUUGCAGGCACUGGCUUCAGAUCAAGGUGACCCAUACCAAACUCUUCUUCAGAUAGCCAUGAACUCUGCAUAAUAAUUGGGCAUUCCACACAUACAUCUCAUAACAUACGCAGGUGGUUGUCUCCUGAUAGGGAGAAAAAAGGCACCAGUCAAGAUGUAACACUUACCUUGCGAGCUGCCAGAGCAGCAGCUACACCAGUGGCCAGUACUUUCAGGUCUUCCCUCUCAUCCCCCUUUAGCUUCGCAACCUGGUAAACAUAUUUGUGAGUAAUAGCCCAACAGCAUAUCACAAAUGGUGACUACUGAUGUACUUACCCUUUUCUCAAUGUUGAUACCGCUUUUUCGAAUCACAGGAAAAAUACUAGUUAUCUUUGUGAGCACAAUAAGGGCGUUUCUAAUUUCCAUGUAUUCUUUUGAUUCCAUACAUUGAUUAAGCACCUUGGUAAUUCUUGUACUCCACUUAUAAUGGACCUUUGAAAAGCACAGAAAAAAGAUGUUAAAAAGCACAUGUGAAGAAUAUAGCAGGACAACAUAAAUUUUUGGAUACUAGACAUUCACAUGUCUUUUUUGUUAAUUCAGGCGACAUGAACAAAAUCUACGAAAAAUGCGGCACAUGACAAUAAUAUAUACUAUAGAGUCCAUGAAACCAUGCUAAAUUUAUGCCUGUUCAAGAAACAGAAAUUUCACCAACAAAAAUGGGCAGAUGCGUAUCAAACUAUCAAUGGAAAGUAUGCAGUGGAUCAUUUUGUACAGACACAUUUAAACAUUAUGGGAAACUUGCAGGAUUAACAUUUUAUUCUCUUUAAAUAAAAAAGCCAGCAACACAAUUCCCAAACUGAACUCUGACAUGUUUGGCAUGAUAAAUAACAGAUGGGGCCUACUUACUAAGAAUGAGCUUUCCUUCGCAAAAAUGUGGCAAGAUAACAUAUUCUUAGCAAGCAGAGUACAAAGAUUUUAUGUCUUAUGUCCUCUUUGUGCGGAAUUAAGGUGAAGUAUCUGUAACCUGGAACUAGCAUAGUUGCUCAAAAAAUCGUAUAAAAAUCACCAACACAAAAUGUGCCAUUAUAUGGGGCAUUGGAGCCACCAGAUUUAGAUGAAUGAGUCUGGGUUCCUCUAACAUAGUUUGUGAAUUUGUGAACUAGUUCAUUUGCAAAAUUGUAAAUCCAUUAAACUAGUCCAUCAAAAUCUGGUGUGCCAACAGCUCACACUAAAGAGUUGAGUCGGCAUCUAAACAUGGUUUUGCGUAUUAGUAUUCCUCACAUGAUUAACUCCUGAACUGAGAUAGGACGGAACUUACUGUUUUUAUGCACUAUCUAUGGGGCCUCUGUGGCGAAAUAUCUAGUGCAGAAGUAUUAUGUUUGAAGUAAUUUUAGAAGGUGACAACACGCAUAAACUACAUAAUAGACUUAUUUCCUAUGCACAAAAGAAGUUUACUUGUGCACAAAAUUGUGCUUUCAUACUACAGAUCGCCCUUAGGAACUCUUAUGAAUUGUGAUAUCACCAUAUCAUGCAAGUUGAGGACAAGUUAGUCCUAAAUUUUAGAAAUGGCGAUCAAAGCAAAAAACAGGGUAUCUAUGUUUUGAUCACUAUUUCUAAAAUUUUAGGACUAGGCUGUACUAAAGGAAAUCAUAAACAUGCAGAACUUAAUUAUGCGACACACAUAACUUCAAGGAGUGUGUAAAGCAUACUUUAAUGAACUGAGCAUAAGGUACACGUUGACUGUUUGGAAAUCUGAAGUAUAAAGCGAAUCCUGGCUUAUUUCCACAUUCACGCUCAUAUAUUGCUUCAUCACUCUGCAGAAAGUUGUAUAUGCAAACUCAGAAGCACUAGAACAAUGUAAUAACCAUCAGGAAAGCUGUUGUGAAAAAGUGUACAGCGCAUGAAUCAAGAAGCUACCUUCCAAUAGUAGGCCAUCUUCAGUGUCUCAUGAAGAAACCGUCCAAGCCUACCAGCUUCAUAUUCUGUACAACAACAGAUCAUUGGCUGUAGUGUCUUGCAGAUGAAAACAUCUAUAUGAUUCACCGUGUUAAAAAAUGGAGUCCCAAGUGAAUGCAUCGUCUGGACAAAUGUAGCACAAUACACAGCAUCCUGCAUGCUAAAAACGCAACGUGGAUAUAUACAACGCUGGAGAAAUUCCAUGUUGAUCUUCAGUGCGUCCGGACCGGAACUCAGCCAUUUAUCCUUUUCACGGGCUAGCCUUUGGAGAACUGAUGCAACGUGUUGUUGAUGCUUGUCAGAUUCGUUGUUCAAUUUGUCAACUAAAUCUUGGAUUCUCUCCUUGUCUUUCUUACGUCGUGAUAUUGCAAUGCUAGAGUUAUCUGAGUUAUCUUCGAGUUGUUUGAGAUUGUCAUGCAACUUCUUGAUUUCUGCAUCAUAACGAUCUUUUGGGAAAUGGAGAUCAUAGAGUGUUAAACCCCAGAAAGUAGCAUACAAUUCAGGUGAAAGACCAUUCCAGGCUUUUGUUGGCAAAAUUGUUCGGAUUGUGUUAAGAAGAUCUGACCACCUGUAAAAAAAAAGAACACAGACAAUUGCACAUGAAUCAAACCUAAAAUACCAUGGAGAUGUCAAUGAAGUUCCAGUAUCAUUUAGAAACAGAAAAUUUG
rnacentral:lncRNA from 1 species